rnacentral:lncRNA from 1 species
UCCGUGGGAAGAGAGCAGAUACCAAUCCUAAACAACCCUUAGAAUGGCCUCAUCCAAACGAAUGAUUGUCAUUGAUAAGACGGGCAGGUGGUAUGUUGAUACUGAGCCGCUUCCCCUGUAGUUGUUAGCGAAAGGCGUCAACAACUGAUCGAGGGGAGGUAUCCCCGAGAAAAGGACUAUUCGGAUCACUGAAAGGACUAUUCGGAGCNNNNNNNNNNNNNNNNNNNNNNNNNNNNNNNNNNNNNNNNNNNNNNNNNNNNNNNNNNNNNNNNNNNNNNNNNNNNNNNNNNNNNNNNNNNNNNNNNNNNUAGGGCGAAUUCCGUGGCUCGUUUACUUGGCUGGACAUGCGUGCACACACAUCUCUUAUCGGUGACAACCAUGCUUGGACAAGUCACGCAUUCACACACAUCACUAUUUUCGGCGUCGCAAGUCACACAAUGCUCUUACAAUGGGUCUUAAUUGUAUACCAGCUGGUAAGAUGAGCAGGCCAAUAUCGCAUCAAAACCCGCAGCAUCUAAGAUGGCAUGUACGUACAUUAGAAACAUUCAGCAAAUUGCAGUAAACAGAUGAGAAACACAGAGCUGUGCUAAUCUUUCACCCAAAGAUGUCAAAACUGUGAAUUUCCUGUGAACAUAUAAACAUGAAACUGAAAUGUGAAGAUGGAGUUAUGUAGGAGUAUGUGCAAUAUACCUGCAAUCUAUUUCAUUCUAAAUUUGCUUCGAAGAAAGAAGAUUUUUAGAACAAUAAAAUGCAAGCAGGCAGGUGGAUGCCUUAUCUGCCCACUAAGGCCUCGUUUGGUUAAGCGGGAUUGGAGAGGAUUUGAGAGGAAAAUCCCCGGGGGGUCAGAAACCCCACAGAUCCUCGCGCGUCCAUUUGGUAGGAGGGGUUUGCUUAGCCCAAUCCCCUCCAUUCCCCUUCAAUCCCUUCCUAUCCAUGUGUUUCAAAACCCUCCUCGGAGGACUAGUGGAAGCAAAAACCCGGGGAUUUGAGAGGAUUGGGUGAAACAAAGGGAUUCAUCCAAUCCCCUGAAUUCCCUCCCUCUUAAAUCCUCUCCAAUCCCCCUUAACCAAACGAGGCCUAAUAGUUUGAGAACAACAUGUCAUGUGAACACAUGAAAAACUUGUCCAGCUCCGACCGUUGACAAGAGCGUUUAUUUGUACAUCCUUGGAAUAUUAGCAACAUGCUCAACGCAAUCACGCAACACAUACUGUUAUAUAUAAAUAUAUAUACACACACACAGAUGCUACUACUACAACUACAGUACUUGCUAACCAAACCAAGCAAUGGCAAUGGGGAUCAUGAGUUUGCUAUGCUCAUUCCUGGCCGUCCUGACUACUGCGACCGUGAGUGGUAGCGACCACGACGAGGCUGCGUUGCUUGCUUUCAGAGCGCAGGUCAGCGAUGGCGGCUCGCUAGCCUCCUGGAAUAGCAGCGCCAGCUUUUGCAGCUGGGAAGGUGUGACAUGCAGCCACCGAAGGCCAGCGCGGGUGGUGGCGCUGAGAUUGAACAACAAGGCGCUCGCCGGAGAACUCUCACCGGCCAUCGGGAACCUCACGUUCCUGCGGACGCUUAACCUGAGCUUCAACUGGUUGCACGGGGAGAUACCAGCGAGCCUCGGCCGCCUCCGCCGCCUGCAUAGGCUCGACUUGGGUGACAACUCCUUCUCAGGCACGUUACCAGUGAACCUGAGCUCAUGUGUCAGCAUGGCCAUAAUGGGACUGCUAAACAACAAGCUUGGCGGGCGCAUCCCGGCUGAGCUCGGAGAGAAGCUCACGUCCCUGGUAAGGAUAUCACUGAGUAACAACAGCUUCACAGGGCUCAUCCCUCCAUCGCUGGCCAAUCUGUCCCAUUUGGAAAUCCUUGAUCUCUCUCGCAACCAGCUCGUGGGCUCAAUCCCACCACGGCUCGGAAGCAUCCAGGGCAUGCAACAGUUCAGCAUCGCCAGAAACCUCAUCAACGGUAUGAUUCCGACUUCUCUCUACAAUUGGUCAUCGCUACAACUAUUUGAUGUAGGGACAAAUAUGAUGUACGGGAGUUUGGAUAGUAUCGGAAACAAGUUCCCCAAGUUAAAAUAUCUUGGCCUGUCUGGUAAUAACUUCACUGGAACAAUCCCAUCAUCAAUAUCCAACAUAUCUUCCCUCUUAUCAGUUGGCUUUGAUAGCAACAGAUUUAGUGGGUACUUUUCUCCCGCGUUUGGGAAGCUGGCAGCACUUCAAUAUUUGAACUUGAAUAACAAUAAGCUUGAAGCGAAUGACAACAAGGGUUGGGAAUUCAUCACGUCUUUGGCAAACUGCAGCCAACUGCAGCUAUUGGUACUCAGCAGCAAUUCUUUUCAAGGACAACUACCAGGUUCAAUUGUGAACCUGUCAACGACUCUCCAGUACUUGCACUUAGGUGACAAUAGGAUCUCUGGGAGUAUUCCUGCAGAUAUAGGCAAUUUGAUUGGUCUACAAACACUUGCGAUAGUAAAUACUUCCAUGUCCGGAAUGAUCCCAAAGAGCAUCGGUAAGCUACAGAACUUGAUCGAUUUAGCAUUGUACAACAAUAGCUUGUCUGGGCUCAUACCGCCAUCGCUAGGAAACCUUUCACAAUUGAAUAAGCUUUAUGCACGUAAUAGCAACUUGGAGGGACCAAUUCCGGCAAGCCUGGGGAAGUUGAAAAACCUCAUUGUACUUGAUUUAAAAAUGAAUUACCAUCUCAACGGUUCAAUACCCAAAGAAAUUUUCAGGUUACCUAGCCUUUCUUGGUAUUUGGACUUGUCAUACAAUUCCCUUUCCGGACCCCUUCCCAAUGAAGUUGGUAGCUUGGCAAACCUUAACCUACUAGUUCUAUCAGGAAACCAGCUGUCUGGCAAGAUACCCGACAGCAUACAGAAUUGCAUGGUAUUGGAACAACUAUUCUUAGACAACAAUUCCUUUGAGGGAAACAUACCUCAGUCACUGACAAAUAUAAGGGGGCUCAGUAUAUUGAACCUGACCAUGAACAAGUUCUCUGGUAAUAUUCCGGAUGCCAUUGGCAAUAUUGGAAACCUGCGAGAGUUGUACGUAGCACACAACAACUUGUCAGGAUCAAUCCCACUAGUUCUAGAAAAAUUGUCGUCAUUGUCUGAAUUGGAUAUAUCCUACAAUAAUUUGCAAGGAGAGGUGCCAAAUGUAGGUGUUUUCAGAAACAUCACUCAUUUAGCGGUUGUUGGGAAUGUCAAUUUGUGUGGUGGUACACCUCAACUUCAUUUGGCUCCGUGCCCCACAGGGGUCUUAAGCAAGAAGAGAAAAAAAAUGCCAAAAUCUCUGGUAAUUUCUCUAGCAGCAGUUGGAGCAAUCAUGUUCUUACUUGCAGUGAUUGUUCUUGUUUGGAGACUUUGUAAGAAGCUCAAAUCAAGCCAGAACGCAGUAGCAAAAGAUUCAAUUGUUGAUGGCCAUUACAGAAGAAUCCCCUAUCCUGCAUUACUGAAAGGAACUAACGAAUUUUCAGAAGCCAACUUGCUUGGGAAAGGAAGUUAUGGUGCGGUUUAUAAGUGUGUUUUGGACAAUGAAGAAACAGAAUUGGCUGUCAAGGUGUUUAACCUUGGUCGAUCUAGGUAUUCGAAGAGUUUUGAGGCUGAAUGUGAGGCUAUGAGAAGGAUAAGACACCGUUGUCUCAUAAAGAUCAUUACUUCUUGUUCGAGCAUCAACCACCAAGGUCAAGAGUUCAAGGCAUUGGUUUUUGAAUUCAUGCCCAAUGGUAACUUGGAUAGCUGGCUUCAUCAACCAUCUCAAGAUCCCACUGCAAACAACACGCUCAGCCUUGCCCAGAGGUUCGAUAUUGCUGUCGAUAUUGUGGAUGCAGUAGAAUAUCUGCACCGCUACUGCCAACCAUUGGUGAUCCAUUGUGAUAUUAAGCCAAGCAAUAUUCUUCUUGCUGAAGACAUGAGCGCCCGAGUUGGAGACUUUGGCAUAUCAAGAAUUCUUCAAGAAAAUACAAGUGAGGGGAUGCAAAGUUCAUAUGGCUCAACUGGAAUUAAAGGUUCCAUAGGCUAUGUUGCUCCAGGUGACUAAAACUUCUAAUUUUAUUAUUACUUUUCACUCAAGUAUUCCAUGCUAACCACAAGACUUUGCAUAAUUGCAGAGUAUGGAGAAGGAUCUGCGGUCUCUACAGCUGGUGAUAUUUAUAGCCUUGGCAUAUUGCUGCUUGAGAUGUUUACUGGAAGGAGCCCAACAGAAGGCAUGUUUAGAGAUUCAUUGGAUCUUCAUAAGUUUGUUGAGGAUGCACUUCAAGAUAGGACCCUGGAGAUAGCUGACCCAACAAUGUGGCUGCACAGCGGACAAUGGGAUAACACUACAAGUAUUAGAAUCAUGGAGUUAUUGGUUUCAGUUUUCAGGCUUGGCAUAUCCUGCUCAAGGCAACACCCGCGAGACCGAACAACUACGGGAGAUGCAGCGGCAGAGAUGCAUGCAAUCCGAGAUGCAUACCUCAAAUUCAUAGGGGAGCAUGGAGCAGAAACAGAAGCCUCAACUGAAGAAAUUCAGAACAGUGUUGCAUAGACAAGCUAUUACUAGAUAUAUAUGGUACUAAAGGUUUUACGUAUCACUUCAGUUACUAGUGGCUCUCAGAGCUACGUUGCUUUACAGUUGUACCAAAUAAAUGUUGAACAAUUGCAUUAUGCAAUAAUAGCUCUACAGUAAGUCGUAGAGGGUUCUAGAAAUCAAGUCCAUUCCCAAAAACUUUACACACGCAGCCAACAAUCAGGUAAAACCAUCAGACAUGAGGUUCUAGAGAGUUUAAGAAGUUCUUUUUUUACUUUUCUUAUACAUUUAGUAUUAAUCUUAUUAUCUUAAUAGAUGCGUUCUCAAGAGAACUGUGGUUCUUUAUUACCCCCUCCGUAAGCAUUUAGAUCAUUAAAAUAGUGAUCUAAAUGCUCUUAUAUUCGAAAGUACUUAUGUGAUCCCGAGCUUCAGUGAUCCCGGAUGAACAAUAAAAUCCGAAAAAAUACUAAAAAAGUUUUUAAAAAAUCUGAUUUUUUUUUACAGGAAACUUUGAUGUUUUUCUACAUGCAUGCAAUUUUUCAUGAUGAAAUGAUAUUUGUGAAGUUGUGGGCGAAAAAACAAAAAUGAUGUUCUAAAGUGCUUUCAAAAACACUUUUCUGGAACAUCCAUUAUGUUUUCUUUUCCCACACCCAGGGCUCAGCCUGGACGUGACGAGCGGGCUUUCGGCCCGGCUCGUAGCCCGUUAUGGACCGGAUCGCACGGGCCCGGCUCGUGAAAUAAUAUGGCCGGUCCGGUCCGUGAAAAAAAGACUAAAAUUUGGUCUGUCCGGUCCGGUGCAAACUCGUUCCGGCCCGGAGGACCGAAGGACCAGCCCAACAAAACUAAUGAAGAGAGAUUCAACCCAUAAAGACUACGCGUGCGUGCGCUGUGUGACCUAACUGCUGCUCUCUCUCCCUCGUCCAUGCCCAGGACGCCGCCGCGUGACUUCAUCUUCCUCUUCCCUGCUCUCCCCUCCUUUCCCCGGCGCCACUGCCUCGCGUCGCCGCUCCUCCGCGGGCUGCUCGCCCUCUCAUCCGUGCGGUCGUGCAUCUCCCUCUCUCUCCCGUGCCUUUCCCUUGUGCCCUCGCGCCCCGGCCACCGCGCCGCCGCUUCUCAGGUGUGUCUUCUCCGUCUCCGGCCAUCGUGUUGUUGUCCCGACCACCGCUCCGACACCCUGGGUCCACAUGACAGUCACCGGACGUCGUUGGACCGUGAGGAUCGGCGGUCCGCACCGAGCUUUACAUCUGCCGGUCCGGUCCCUGAAAUCAGGACCACCGGGCUGCUCGGUCCGGUCCGGACCGGACCGUCGGCGGCCAGUCGAAACGUCAGCUCGGACCGCGACUGGACCGGCUCGGACCGUGUCCAUCCUGACCCACGGCCGUCUUUAGGAAUUGAGGGGGGUGCGAAAUGAAAAUGAUGCCUUGAAAUCUGAAAAAUUCUUGUAACUAAAGUACUCUAAAGGAUGUCAUACAAUAUGUGAAAUAUAAACCUGCUUGGUCUUAAUACCUAACUAUCUUCAUUAAAUAUAUGGUAUGUCAUACAAUAUGUGAAAUAUAUCUGAUACUCCUAACCUUUGAUUAAUCUGCAAAUUAAUCAUAAUUGUUAGAAACUAAUUAGUAGAUUAGUUUAUUAGCAAAGGGAUGUGUCCAACCCUGAACAUGCGUGUCUCUUCUCUCUCUCUAUUGCUAACACGCACCUGUUCUGGAGGGAUGCCUCUGAACAGAUAUCUCUUCUUCGCACCUCUUUCAGAUGUAUAUAUACUUGAGAAUCAAUAGAAACACGACUAAUCGUCCAUUCACUUUCAUUCAAUCUCGUUUUACUUUAACACGUUGUCAGCACUUUGCCCUAACCUAGAGCGAUUAGGCACCAGGAACGAGAAGAAAGGAGGCCAUCCCUUGCCUCGACGGAGACGGCCACCGGUCGGUGCGUAACAUGGCCAUCCCGCCCACGAGCAUCAAGGCGCGGCCUCGACCUCUCCCACCGACGCACCAACCAGACAACGCCCACGGCUUAGCCAUGGCCCUCGGCCUCGGCGCAGAGGCAUCUCCAACUGACUGCUUCCAUCACGGAGCGCGCGAUGGCCCUCGACUCUGUCGCUUCUUCCCCAGGCGCGGCGGCCUUCAUCUGAGACACCGCCUCUUCCGAUGCGGCACCCUGGCAGCACAGGCGUCCAACGGUCGGGAUGAGCGACCGCACUCUACAGCGACGCCCCCCGGCGAGCGUAUUUGGCGACGGCUCCCCAAGCCCUCCGGAUCGAGCAAAUCUUCAGUACGGACGAAACGAGGCCCAACCAAGAAGCUGGAUGACGGUGAGAGAUACAUGAUUGAAACAGUCUCAAAUGUCGGGCAAGCAAUUGCUCCCACAGAUGUAAAGCAGAAGUUUGUGAAGGCAUGCAGAGUUGUUGUAAGGGACCACAUCCCUAUCACCACUCGAGAAUGGAUUAAGCCAAGGGAGGAAGGAGUCUCAUAUGUCGGCACAGCAGCCAAAGAAAACCUUUGGAGAAAGCUCAUGCUUCAUUUCACCCUGUCGGCGCCAGAGGUGGAUCCAGAUGAGGAGGAGCCAAAUGAGGAGGAAAUGAAGAGGUGAAAAGAGGCCCUAGAGAAAAAAGUCAAGGAGUGGGCUCUUAAGAAGAUGGCCGAUCUAUUCAGGGGCUGAAAAAAAAGAUUGCACCAGGAUUUUAUCUUGAAAGAUAAGACUCCAGAUUUCGAUCACGGCUAUGAGAAGAUUAAAGACUACUGGCCGAAUUUGUGGCGUACAAGAAAUUGAAGGACGCCUUGAAAAAGUCUGCAACAAAUAGGAUGAAUGCAGGUAAGAAGAAGUACCACCAUAUUAUGGGGCCUGGUGGCUACGGCGGUAAGAUGGCUAAGUGGGAAGAACUUGAGGCAUCAUUUCUGGACAAUAAUAUCACUCCACAGCCCUUAAGAUGGCUCGAACGGGUAAGAAACUGGUUUUACGGGCAGGGGGGCUUGUUGGACGCAGAAGGGAAGACAAUAUAUAACCAAAGACACAAAUAUAAUCCCCUAUCCAUCGAGGAGAUUAGACAUGCAGUACAGGAUGUUGAAGAGGGACAGUUCUUACCCGAUAGAGAGAACGACGAGCUCACACGCGCCCUUGGGAAUAAGGAACACAAAGGGUGAGCACGAGGCUUACCAGGCUCCCCGCCGUGGAUUCUUGCGUUCUCCGAGGAAAGGAAGAGAUUUAUCGAUAGAAGCCAUCACAGGAGAAAGGAAAAGGAGACACGUGAUAAUUAAAGCGGCUGAGGCACACCGGCUGCAUAAUCUAGAAGAAGCAGUAAAGCGGCUGCAGCAGGAUCAAAUCGACAGAGAACAAGGUAGCGGCCAAUCUCAGCGGCUCAUGAUAGAAGCUGCAUCGAAUCGGAAAAGCAGUGUCGCUUCCAUGCAGCUCCAAGAUGAUGGUGAUGAUGCACUAACGACGGAUCCUCCUCGUCGCUACCCAGUGGAUGAUAUCACAGAGAGCACACCUUGUGAGCUAAAGGUGAAACUUGCUAACUUAAGGUUGACGGUGGCGGUCGGCAUGGCCAUACCAAUUGGACAUAAUCCAACUUGGCAUUGCUCUCCAGUUCCAGAAGAUUACGCUGUCGUCGCGGUGGAUGAAGUGAUGAAAGAUUAUGAGGAGCUGAAGCUCGACCACCCUACAGGUGAAGAUAGGGAUUUGACUCAACUUGGAGAAGUCAAGAAACAAACCGUUGUAUGGCCAAAGGAGGACAUCUUGCUUCCAAAUUGGACGCCAAGGCCACCGACUCCUCAUAGCAGCAAUCCUUCUUCGCCUCCACCUCACCAGUCUCCACCGUAACCGUCGUCUUCGCCGCCUCACCAGUCUCCAGCGCAACCGUCUCCACCGCCCCGUCAGCCGUCUCCGUCCACUGAGGAUCAGAGCAAAAAAGCGGAAACGUACCACCACUAAUAGUGGCGGCAGAAAGUUCCGAUCACCGAAACGUAAGUUGUCACCCCUCCCAAAAGUACCUCAUAUGGAUAUGGAGAAGAGACCUUGAGACUAUACUGGAGAGGACAAUAUUAAGAGGGCAGACGCCCAGCAUCAACAGUGGAAGGCUGAAGUGGCUAACAAGAAGAAGCCGGAAGAACCAUAGUACCCGAACACCCCAGAAGAUCACGGCGCGUGCGUGAAAAUGCUGAAAAACCUUGCAGAUCCCCCGCCAUCGUUGCCAGCAGACUAUGAACGCUCUAUUCCCAAGUCGACUCAGGCAAAAAAGAGCGGUUGAACAAUAGUACGUCCAGCGGGAAAUCAGUUGCCCAGCUCGGACAACAGAAAAAACAAUCGCGCCCCCGCUCAAAGUGUAUUCCGAUACAAAGGUGUGCUCGAGUGGAGCUGCGGUCAAACAGAGGAAUGAUGAAACAGCUGCUAUCGAUCCGGAGUUUGUUGCAAUAUACGUAGAAGUGGCCAAGGCUCAAGGCAUGUCUAUUUCAGAGUACUUAGACCAUCUGCAGGAAUUCGCUGACGUAACAUACGUGUACCGGUACGAGUCUCCUUUCGUCAAAUCUGAGUUAGUCAACAAGCUACCAACCAAAAUGCGAAGAUUGCAUGCCUAGUACAUGCAAGCAUGUACUAAACAUCAACACUGGAUCUACGUUGCAUAUGAAGACGAGCAUUUCUGGAGUGGACGAGACGUGCUAAUGAUUGAAUUCGACGAAUUAUUUCAGUUAUACAAACAAGGCGCCCUCGACAAAUCUAUCAUCAGUGUCUUUUUUUUGUAAGUAUUAUUAAUUUAUAUCAUUAAGUUUUACUCAGCUCGUUCUUGCAUGUAUAAUCUUACUCAUCACUAUAUUAAUUUUGCAGAAUGAAGAUUCUCGAAUGCAAAAGAGGACAAAUGUAUGACAUUGGGUUCAUUAACCCAUAUUACAAUCAUCAUCAAAGUCUCGCAACGAAUCCCCGCAAGACAGAGAAUAACUUGGUACAAGGGUUAAGGUUUUGCAGUACCAAAAGGGAAAUAUUAUUUCCUUACAACUUCAAGUGAGUGUUACUAUACACACAUUCUAUUUUCGUUUACUCGAUGUUAUUAUAAGUGUACAUAUAAUUGACUCGUUAUGCGUGCGCAGAUUCCACUUUAUUUUAUUAAUCAUUGUACCUGACGAGGGACAAGUAAUAGUCAUGGACCCGAAACCCACACCCCUCAUUGAAUGGGCGAACAUGUAGGAAUGUCUCCAGAGGUAAUUUUAAUAAUUAUGACACUAUAUCGGCAACUUCUCGUUCAUUUUCUGAUAGCAAGGAAUUAAUAUAGAACUCCUUUAUUCAUUUCCUUUUCUUGGCAGGGCUUGGAAACGGUUCACCGCCAAGGCUCGAGGUGAUUGGAAGUCAGAGCUUACAUUUAAACAAAUAGAUGUAAGUAACUACUAGCUAGAUCCGCACAUCUCUUUAUUCUAGUUUCAAUACCAUUAUAAUUCUUGAUUAUGUUUUUGAUUGAACUCUGUUCUCGUAAAGUGCUUGAGGCAGGAACACGGGAACAAUUUAUGUGGAUCUAUGUUUGCGAGUUCAUUCGACAGACAACCCAUCAGAAGGGCAAAACCCGAGACAUAAAAAAACCGAAGUACGAUAAACAAUACUCACAACUUUAUUUUAUUACCGUGAAUUGUGUUUGUUUUCAUUGAUAUAUAUAUUGACCCCUUCUUUAAAUUAGAUCGAACAGUUGCGGGACGGUCUUCUACCACAGAAACGUGUAUGAGCAAUUCAAGAGGAAAUUGCCGGAUUCUUAGAUGCAGAGGUCCUAGAUGUUAAGGGAGAAUAGUAUUGUCAUUCGACGGAAAUGAUAUGAAAUGAUAUAGUGUAAAAAAGAUGCAUACAUGUGCAUGUAACUUGUGUCUACAUUUUAUAAAUAUGUUCGACAAAGCACGACGGAUGAGAUGGUGUAAUAUAUUUGUGUCGAUGUGCAAUAUAGUUGUUCCUUUAUUGUUGUGUAUGUACCAUCCAAUUUAGUGCAAAACAAGAAUUAAAAAAUGCCUAAAACAAAUAAAUGGAAAAAUAGAGGGCAGCAAAAUAGCCCAUCCAAUUUAGUGCAAAACCUUAAAUCCAAAAAUUGCUCAGAAAAAACAACAAAGAAAUAGCCUCGGUUCGUAAUACGAAUCGGGACUAAUACCCCUCCCCCCUCGCUCCCAGCCCCGCCACGUGAAAGGCCAUUAGCCCCGGUUCAGGGCCGAACCAGGGCUAGCAUUAGUCCCGGUUCGAGAACCGGGACUAAUGGCUCAACCGGACCGGGCUAAAAGCCUUUUUUUACUAGUGUAGUGGGUGCCCGCCACGUCGGCAAGCCACACGUGCAUUUGGUAUGGUGGAUAUGGUAGAAUAUGAUUGUAUUUGCACGCCCGUGCAAGUUUGAUGAGAAAAAACAUGUAUUUUACAAGUUUGUGCAUCGUUAAACUGGACGUUAGAUAAAAGUUGUAUGACUCAGCGCGAUGUUAUUUCCCUCUUUUCUAAUCUUCUCGGGUAGCAGGGUGGUGUCGGUCGCUAGUUUUUGGGCUGUAUUAAUUGUUGCUUUGGUUUGGAGUGCACAGAGGAAUACGACUGCCAUCGGGCGGCCUGAGGAGCCAUACGUGAAUGCUGUCUCGGUCUUGCUUGGUAUUUUUGCAUGCUAGGUGUUUUGGUCCUCCAUCCAAUCCUCUAGUUUAUCUCCCAUCGCCGUCAGACCUUGGAGGAGGACGAGUUGCGCUUGUGCUGAAGUUGUCUGGUCAAGAAGUGAGCAGACGACUAGGGAGAAAUUCGUCUUGGCACGCACGCGGGGAUAUGUCCUGACUUUAUUUAUCGCGACGGAUCAAACUUGUCCAUCGACCAAGGGAGCUUGAGCUCUGCUCGACCGUGCGGUCAGCCGCAUGCCACAUGGCAGGCCUCCCAUGGCGCUCAUCUUCUUCUUGCAUUGGCCUCCUCCAUCUUUGCAGCUUCUUGACCCCAUCCCGCAUCUUCUUUCCUUCCUACCUACUCCCUUCUUUCUGGUUUAUAGAACUCAUCUUAAAAAUUUUAGAUUUCCAUUAGGCUCAUUUUUAGUCUAAUUAAAUUAAAGUGCUUUGAGUCUCACGCCAUAUUUAAUUCAUAAAGUUUAGAAAAAAGAGAUGAGUGGCUAUGCUUGCAUUGUUUUUUACAUCCAUCAUGCAAGUCCAAUAAAAAGGAGGAUGCUGCAUUUAUUGCCUUAAAAAUUGAAUAUGUGAGAAAUGUUUCAUUGGCUAGUUAAAACUAGUGUCAUCCACUCACAAUUCAUCUUGAUUGAUGAGAUUUCAGAUUUGAGCCGUAUAAAUUGAAAAAAAGGGAGUAUAUUAAUUUGCUCUCCAGUUCGGGCACCUACGUCCCCACGCGCGCGCUUCCUUUGCAUAUCGCCGACUAGAGCAUGCAGCAACUGACGGGUAGCGUCGGGCUGGACGCAUAGCCAGCAGCAUGGCUUGUCCCGCAGACAUGGCUGUGGAGCAGUAAGGUAGUAGUAGAUCGAUGCAGUCAUGCGUGGGCACGGACCACGGAGACAGACAAUCCUGGACAGAUUUUAAUCGUGCAUAUAGUCAGAGAAAACGACGCACGCGGGGGGCGCGCGGAUAUAUAUGAAACGUCUCCUAGUGGUACGAUACAAACAAAACGUUGCGAUCGGCCUUGGGUCCAGCGGGUUAGUUUAUAAGCGGGUGAACGACCGUGCACCCACUUCUCCAUCUUUGUUUAUACUACUUUUUUUUUGAACUCAUCUUUGUUUAUACUACUGUGACAUAUAUUUGGGUGGAAGCUGCCACCUAGGACUGAAUGCGGCAUCAUCCAUCCAUUCUUAUCUUUUGUGGUCGUCACUCCAAUAAUUGAUGUAAAAGCGGGACAUCGUUGCAGGCUCUUUGAAAGAAAGUUGUAUCUUCAUCUUAAAAUUGAAAAAAAAAAUAUAUAUCAUAUAAACAUCGUAUCCAUCUAAAAAGAACUAUAAAACUUUUCUUAAAAAAAACAAAGUCUCACUUUUAUUUAAAAAAAUUUAAAAAAAUCAAUAAACUUUCUCACUGCGGCCAACCAGCAUGUGCCAUGUGCCGUAGCUGGUUGGCUUUUGAAAAGAACCCUAAAAAAUCAAAAGCUUUCUCAGAGUGGGCAACCAGCAUGCGCUAUGUGGCAUACUUGGUUAGCCACCAUUGUAGUGAUGCUUAAUGUGUUGGAUAAGAGCAUCUACAGCCGGACCCGUCAAAUCCGACCCCUCUAACGCCCGCAGACCCGUCCGCGGACACUAACCGGACACGCCUUAAAUUUUCCUCUUCACAUCCAACUCAUAUUUCAUUCCUCUUAUCCAUACAAAAGCAUGCAGAAUAUAUCCUACAAACUACUACUGUAAUCUUCCUUCCUCGUCGAAGAUGGCCUGGAUCGGAGCCUGAGCCGCGUGCGCCGCCUCCUCCGACGCCCACGGUUCUUCUAUCUGACGCUUGGCCACCACAGCUGACUCAGAGCAGAUGGAGUUGAAGAUGGCCAACUCCUCCGGCCACAGAUCGACCAUCGUCGGUGGCCUCCUCCUCCGGCUCCUACGGCAUCGCCUCCUCCUCCGACGCCUGUGGCUCCUCCUCCGGCUCCUACGGCAUCGCCUCCUCCUCCGACGCCUGUGGCUCCUCCUCAGGCUCCUGCCCCAUCUCCCCCCUCCUCGAAAUCCACCUUCGGUUCUAGAGGUAGCCCCGAUUCCCUUCGGAUUCGGACCUGCUGAAGGAGGAAGAGACGAUGCUGGAUCGUGUAAUGUCGAUGAUGUGGCUGACGGGCUCGAAAAGGGAAGUGCUCGGAUGGCGGUGGAGAGAGGAAGGAGGCGGUGCUAGUAGUGGGGGGGGGGGGGGCUCGCCAACUUAUAUAGCCGACCCCGACCCCAAAGCGGCGCCACACAGCGUUCACACCAUACCCGACGGUCGAGGCGUCCGUCGGACCGUCGAGUUUUUCGGCGAGUCCACGUGAGGCCUUGUUGUCAGGCCAACAUGGCGGGCGUACUCAGGGCACACCCGAGCUCCCCUGUAUUCACCCUAAUUUGGGCUGGAAAUGAGAGUGCCGGUCAACCUGUGCGUUUGAGACCAGUUUAAGAUCGACUCAUUUAGGUUAUUUUUUUAUGACUGGACAGUGACUGGACGGCCUGCACGGGCGUUUGAGGGGUCCGGCUAUAGAUGCUCUAAGCAAUCCAGCCCGCAGAACCAUAAUAGGUGGAGCCAUGGAGAAGAGAAACGAGCAAUAACUUUUGUUUAGAAAUACUUUUUCUUUACUCUCUUCAUAUUAAAUCUCAUUUUAAGCAAAUACUCCCUCAAUACGAAAAUAUUUGCCGGAGAAAUGGAUGUAUCCAAACAUAUUUUAGUUCUAGAUUCAUUUAUUCUUAUUCAUUUCUCCAACUAGUAUUUCCGGACGGAGAGAGUAUGUACUUUAUGUGACAUAAAAAAAAACGAACUACUACUCCCUCAAUCCAUAUAUAAGGCACAAUAUGUUUCUCAAGAUUUAUUUUGACCAUCGAUAAGGUCAACAAUUCAAAAUUUAUACAACUGAAAACUACUUUAGAAUGUGAAUUCACUUGUAUACCUUUUGUGACAUACACAUCAUAUAUAAUUGGUUUAAUAAGUGAUCAAAGUAAACCUCAAAAUUCAUAUUAGGCCUUAUAUAUAUUUAUAACACAUCAAGCAAAUAAAGAAGCAUCGUACAAAAAUUACACAAAUAUUUAUAACACAUCAAACAAAUAAAGAAGCAUCGUACAAAACAUUACACAAAUAUUUAUAACACAUCAAACCAAUACAUUAUGAGCCUGUAUUCCAUACUAAUAAUAACAAUUUGGUUAUUUAUUAUUUCAAACUAGAAGAAAAACUAUUAUUUUAAAGCCAAGGUAGCAUUCCGUCUUUUAAUUUCAUGUCUAGUAAAUCAAGCGUACAAUAAAGUUAUUAUGAUUUUCUUUUUCAUGAGAAUGAUGACCACCGAGAGAUAGCAAUAGAUCUAUCCCCACACAUCAUGACCCUAAUCUGAAAACCGAACACAUAUAGUGAUAUAGAUUGUCUGAUGUACGGCUUCGGGUUCAGGUUAAGUUCACAAUUUGGCUUUAUGGUUUCUUGGGUUGCAAGUUCAUCUAGUUUCUAUCAUUCAACAUAUGCUGUAGCUGAAAGAACCAAUUGGGCCUAGUCCAAUUUCUUCCUCAGGAAAUUCGAUCGGCCCUUCGGAAGAUGAUUAAUUCUCUGUUUUCUGCUCCUUGUUCACCAUCUGCACAGGAAAGCAAGAAGAAAGACAUUGUACCCUGAAAAAAAGAGAUUGUAACUUGAUUGUGCUUCAUUAUCUAAUAACAGGGAGCACAUGCCCACAAACUAUGGCAGAAGACAUGCAUACCUAACCCUCAGUGCUGGCAUGGUCACACCCCACCACCGGCGGCGAGUGUUCACCGGUGGCCGGCAAGAAAGCAAACCAACAAAGCAGAUAUAUUAUUUUCUCCGUUUUGGAACCAACGAAAGCAUCAAUCUCCUCGGCAUCACAGGAAUAAUUUUGUUCUGCUGCUGCAGGCUGGACAGCUUGCACAAGGGCCAUUGGCCUUUACCGCAGCAAGUGGACAUCUUAGUUUUCAAGAGGAUGAAAAGGCACAUGCUCAGCAAGUACAAUAGAGCUGAGUCAGCUGGCUAUAAGAAAUAAACUAAUAUAUUUUUGUUUAGUUAAAGGAAAGAGAAGAUGAGAGAGAAGCUAAGCGGACUCUUAGCUAAGAGCCAGCUCUAACACGUGCUCCAAUGUCUUUUGCGAGUAUGAAAGAUGGACCAUAUAAUAAAAAGUAGUACAUUUUUGCAAUGAAUUAUUGUACAUGUUAGCUAUAAGAUGGGCUAUAGAUGACAUGACAAUCUUAUAGCCAGCAGCUGGAUAUACUAUUGUACUUGCUCUAAACGGUUUGGAGAAUUAACUGCACGUGCCCGUGCCCGUGCCCAGCUUUUACUGCAAACAAAGUGAAAACAGGAAGAAAUAUGCAGGUCAAAGGGUACAGGAACUAACAUCCAUGUCAAAAGUCACGCACAAGUGACUCUGCUCCUGCCAAUUUUACUCGCAACUAGGCUGGUUUCCUCUCUCACAACACACAGACAGACAUACACACACACACUCCCUCUCUCUCUAUUACCCUUCUCUCUGGGAGGAUCACACCUCUACCUCAGGAAGUGGGUUUGAUCACCGAUCUUCUGCAAACUAUGGGAUAGUCUUUCCUACUGAGGACAGUUGCUUGCCUCUGCAAUUAACUAGAAUUGUAAAAGCAGCCUCUUGCUUCUGCAAUUCUAGUGGACAGUUGCAGCAGAGAGUUGUUGUUUCCAAUGGAGGGAUUAUGAUUCAAAAUUCAGAUGCAGCAUCUCAGGAUGGGGACAUUAAUUCAUCAUCUUCCACACAGGCUCAUGUAGUUUAGACAGCAAGGGUGAGGGCUGCUCAACUCCGUCGAAGGUAUCUGGUUUCCUUUGAAGCGAUGAUGGAGGAGAGUGCCACGGCAAGGGUGAGAGCUGCUCAACUCCGUGGAAGGUGUCUGGUUUCCUUUGAAGCGAUGAUGGAGGAGAGUGCCCCCGUAGAGUGAGCAUUUCUGAACCUUCUUAUUCUUCAAUCAUGUAUGCAUACAUGAUUGAUCUGGCAGAUGCUGGGGCCAUGAGCAGAAAUUGGUCGACAGCAAGGAAGAUUGAGGAGCCUGUCCUCGUGCUCAACUCAUGGCGACAUGCCAUACCAACGACCACCCGGACCGGCAUGUCCUUGGGCGGUCCAACGGCGACGUUCAAUAUGUAAGACCUCCUUAGCUGCUUAAUCCCCAGCUAACCUUGAUACUUCUCCCUCGAGGGCACCACAGCCCCAAGCCGUAACAGAGUUGAGAUACUGGUGCCCGUUCUGUAAUCAGGAUGCUUAUUUCACACUGGUAUUGAUGUUCCCUUGAUAUCCAGGUCUGCAAAGAUACGAAGGAUGAUGAGUGCUUGCCACCAGCUUUCAUGGCCGCUCGCGGGAGAGACAUGCUUCAGGCGAUACCGCGGUAAUUUUUGAACUUUAGUUAUCUAUUUCUCAUCUUCUGAGAGGAAGCAGCGGUUAUUUUCCAGGAUUUGACUUCUUUUCACAUCUAUUUGUAUUAUGGAGAGGAAAAUGAGUUCUAUUUCGAGAAUUAAGAGUUUGAGUGGGAUGCGGUGCCGGCUUUUUAUGUCUCCUCCGUUUGCUCGUUCUUCAACUCUUUUGUGGUAUAAAGAUGGGUUUCCAAUGAGUUCUAUUUCGAUAACUAAGAGUUGGAGCGGGAUGAGGUACCAGCUUUCAGCAGGGGGUCUUCUCCAUCUGCAGUCCAACUAUCUCAAAUCAACAUCCCUACUCCGCCCACUCGUUCUGGACCAACUCUUUUGUUCUAAUCAUGGCUUUCCAAUCAAACUAGAGAAACAAGUGCCCUUCACUGCACCCUGUGAAACAGUGGACAAAGGGAUGAUGACACAAUAACCACUAUAUACUGAAUCAGAGGUUAUUUUUUAACCGUAUUUUUUGGUAACAGAAGGCAAAGUAUCAAUAUCAAUGCGUAAAAUAAUAAAACACUAAAUACGACACAAAAACAACGAAGAUGGGCAUUGUUAAAGUAUAGAAAGUUGAAAACUUAUAUUAUACCAUAUAGAAUCCUCAAUAUGGCAUUCAUGCAUCUUCUACUGUGCCACCCUUUCUGCAGAGCACACACACUACAAUGAAAAUAUAAGAGUUAGAAUUUCUAUAAUGAAUGAAUAAUAGGGAAUCUUUAGAGUCUUGCAAACAACAGUAAAAAAAUGGUUUCAGGCUUGACUAGUAGCAGAUAAUAAGAAUCUGCACAAAAGGGUUGCAAUGCCCACCCAAGAUCAUAAUGAUUCACAUACACAAUGACAAGAUGAUAAUGGUCAAGUCUGCAUUAGCAUAUAGCUAUAAAUAUGAGGAAAAAACAUGGAAAACUUGCAACAAUUGAGCUAUAUAAGUGGCCUACUAAAUAAACUCCAUAGUCUUUUAGUUCUCAUUUCUAAAAUGUGAAAAAACGAAGCAAGAAAGAUCUGAAUGAUGCUCUGUUGAGCAAAGGAACAAUAAAUAUAGGUGAAGAGGUUUUGUAAAAUCGUUGAUGUAAGUUUUGGUAAACCACGAACACAAAGAACAGCAUAUCUUGCACAAAAACCCAUAGAGGUAAGUCUUCCUAUACCAAGAGCACGAACAACACAAAAUGCCCGAAAACAAUUAAACUCCCUACCUUCAGAUCUAUAAAAAGUGCAUGUACCUGAAUCUCUGAAUAAUAAAACUGAAAUGAGUCUUGCCCGAAGCUCUACCUUCAAAUUAAGUACCAUUUGGCUAUAUGCCUAUAUGUAUUUUUCUUAUAAGCCAAACCAUAUGAAAAAGUUGAUUUCAUCAUGGCUCUUAGUAAAGGGCAGCCCGGUGCAUAUAGCUCCGCUUGCGCAGGGUCCGGGAAGGGUCCGACUGCUCUGAGUCUUCUGUAUGCAGCCUUUCCCUACACUUCUGCAAGAGGCUUUUUCCAGGACUCGAACCCAUGACCUCAUGGUAAUAUACAAACUAAUCAAACAUGUACAAACUCAAGAACAUUUAUGCAUCUGUGGUUUAGUGCUUUUAAAUAGUUUAAAAACACGGAGUACCUAGAUAGUUCCACCAUGGACAAUGAUACUUGUUUGAUAAAGCCACCCCAUUCACAUUGUUGUAUCCAGUACCUGCAAGGCAAAGUGACACUAAUUCAAACCCCAAAACAUAUGUUCGCAAAUUUACCUGGCAAGCCACCUUUGUGUACAAUGUAAAACAUCAUAUAAAUCAAAGAACUUUAAAGCAAGUAACUUGAUUUCUUAACACAUUACAAUAAAAUACAGCUCCAAUUAUCCUAGCGCCUAUUUCCAUCAGCAACCUAACAUCCAAUAAACACAUAGCAGAGCUAAUAAAAGAGUUGUACCACUGUUGUUGCUCAGGUCAACAGAAAAUACUAUUUUAAAACUUAGAUAUAAUUAGCCCCUGCCUCUUUUAAGCAAUAAAAGAGUCGUAUGUUCGGCUACACUAUAGCCUCAUCGGAUAAUAAACCCAUUUGAUGACGAAGUUGUGAUACUUGUGAAUUUGCGCUAUACCUUUCCAGCAGAGCUUGUGUUUCUACCACAGUAGAAACAAACCAAGCGGGAUGUGUUGGCAUAAUAGAAGAAAUGCAAAGCUUUUACUGUUUCUUUAUAUGACACUGAGAUAAGCUACACCAAAAUGUAUCUCCUAAUGGUAUGCAGGUACCAAUUGAGCAUUUAGUACACCCAGUCGGUCUUCCCCGGAGGUAAUAUAACAACGGCAGCAGAACGGGGCUCACUCACAUUCUCGGUAUCCAGGGACAGAUAUUUGGUCGCGUAGCACUAUUGUCUAGCUUAAGUUUGCUCACUUAUUGAUCUCUGCAUACUCAACAAUAUAAGUCACUUCAUCACUGUCCAUAAUAUGAUAUAAAUAUUGUGGCACCCUAACAUAAAACAAACAGCAUCAUUACUAUGUAGUAGCACGAACACGACCUGUGUCUUGGGACAUUUAUGUUAUUCUUGCUUCACAAUGUCAAAAUAAAUAUUUGUUAAAAAAACUUUGUGGCUCUGUCAUCAGUAGGCACAUGCCCACAUGACAUUGUGAUUUGAGAGACAACAAUAAGUACACCCUUCAAAACUGGAGAUUGAAAAUAAUUACAGCAACAAAUCUGAGAGCUAGACUGUACAUCACUGCUAUAUCAUUUCGGUCAACAAGUAAAUUAAUCCAAUAUAGUAUAUUGUGUAAACUAUAGAGGCCUAAUGGGACAUCACAACUAGCCAUUGAGGUGCAAAAUAAAUAAUAAAAUCCAGUAAAUAAUUGGUACGGUAGUUGUUUCUCAAAUUUCCCUCUGUAGUACUGUUAACCAAUCUGAACAUAAAGCAACUAUGGAGGAAGAAAAUAAAGGGGACAUGGAUCCCAGCCAUUAUCGAAGGCAAGCACAAUGCUGAUUUCUUUACCAAUCUGAACAUGCUCUAGGAGGACAAAAGUAAAGGAGUGUGAGUAGCUACAGUGGCAUUUUGCCAGCAUCAAUUUAUUGAACAUAGUUAGUACUCCCUCCAUUCACAAAUGUAAGUUGAUUUGGAUAUUUCAAUAUGGAGUAUAUACGGACUGAAAUGAGAGAACAAACACACUAAAACCUGUCUAUAUACAUCCGAUUUAGAAAAAAAAUAGAACAUCUUAUAUUUAUGAAUGGAGGGAGUACUUCUCUAUCUGCAAAAACCUCGUCUCAUAAUAUAAGAGCGUUUUUGACACUACACUAGUGUCAAAAACGCACUUAUAUUAUGGGACGGAGGGAGUAAUACAUAGACCUAUCUCUUUGCUUCUCUUGCAGCACCAAUGUUUACACCUUCCCCCUACUUAUGCGAUAUUUAUUUUGUAACACAAAACAAACAUAUAUUCCUUUUGUACCCAAUUGCAAUGAUCAGUAGCAAGCAGUUUACAUCCCACAACAAGCGCAAUCACAAAACUAAACUGAAAGCCCCGAGAUGAAUAAAUCCAUAAAUAAAAAAUUUCAAGCGGCGAUUUUUCUUUCCAGAAAAGAAAGAGGACUACGGCAACAUUCAAAAUUAGUCCAUCAACUGGGUGCUGUACAAAAUAUGGCAGAUGAGAUGAAUACACCUGCAAAUAAGAUGGGGACAUAAGGUAUGAGCUUACUGAAAUACUAAUGCUGCAAACAACAAGUAUACAAAUUUGCUAUACAUAAAAGUUCAGCACUACAGGCAAAACAAUGCAUAGAAAUCUAGAGAAUGCUUACCUUAAUUUAAACACAAAUCUUUCAAAAUAAUCAAGAAAUAAAGUUGAACCAAUGUGACAAGUCGAGUGAUAUGUAUCUGAGAAUAAAAGGACUGGUAUUCAAAUAAUAAAAGUACGGCCACUAAACCUGCCACAAUAUCCAUCACUUACAUACCACAAACUGUACAAACAUAAGCAUACUACUUUCAUCUAGGAGCUAAUGUAAUAGAGAAAGACAGAUAAAUACAAUAGUUGGCAUGUUGGGAGUUCAUGGAAUCGAGAGUGUAACUACAUUGAACCCAGGGACAGCCACACAUUCAAUAGCUGACAAACAGGAGCAGAAAAACCAAGAGACAAAUCAAAUCAGGCUAAAAAAAGAAUAUUUUCAGUGAAGCUAGUUUACCUAAGGGGGGUUCGUAGGCUGGUGCCAUUGCCUUUAUGAAUAAUUUAGCAUUACUUGUGGUCAUCACUAGAAUGAAGCAAGAACAGAUGCUGCCAAUCACCCUGGUGCAUCAGCUGCAGAAAACCCGAAUCUAGAUACCUGUAUUGAACACCAUAUGCACUUCCUGACUCAUGGCAAGUUUUCAGGAAGAAGACCACCAUCAUAGCUAAGCUAAGCUAAGCUUAGUCACGGUGAUAGUAAACCAAACAUGCUGCAGUCCAGGCACCAAAGAAAUGAACAUCAGGGGAUGCAAAAUAAAAUAUGAAAAUUGUACGUCGCAAAGCCGAAAGGGUGAUGGGUGGAUGCAUCCUUGCAUCAUAUUUGAUGAAGAUGUCCAAGCAAAAUAACUCAGCAACCAUCACAGCUAAGCUAAGCUCAGUCAAAGUGACAGUAAACCGAACAUGCUGCAGUCCGGCCACCAAAGAAAUGAACAUCAGGGGAUGCAAAAUAAAAUAUGAAAAUUGUACGUGAUGGGUGGAUCAGUGGAUGCAUCCUUGCAUCAUAUUUGAAGAUGUCCAAGCAAAGUAACUCAGCAACCUUCUUUGUCUCAUGAUUAAUCUGGACACUAAUUUCAUUAUUUCAGUGGCAUUUGCUUCAGAAAAGAGAUGCUCUCAACCAUAGUGACUCUAUCCUGCAGUCCAGAGCAAAACAAAAAAUCAAAUUAGCUGCUUAUUAAGGCACUGAAAGAUGAAAUUAAGAAGGUCAAUCUAUUGACAGCUGAAUUAAGAGCUAUGUAGUGUACAUGCUCCAGGAGGACAAAAGUAAAGGAGUGUGAGUAGCUACAGCAGCAUUUUACCAGCACCAAUUUAUUGAACAUAGUUAGUACAUCUCUAUCUACUAAUACAUAGGUCUGUCACUUUGCUUCUCUUGCAACACCAAUGCUUACACCUUCCACUGCAUGUAACAUUCAGAUUACCCUUGCGAUAUUUAAUUUGUAAAACAAAACUAACAUAUAUUCCUUCUAUACCCAAUUGCAAUUACCAGUAGCAAGCAGUUUACAUCCCACAUCAAGCGCAAUCACAAAACUGAACUUAAAGCCCCGAGAUGAAUGAAUCCAUAAGUACAAAUAUUCAAGCGGCGAAUUUUCUUUCCAGAAAAGAAAGAGAUGUUAAUCAGCGGUAAUUUUUGUAAGUGGCAAUUUUUGAAGGGGAGCAUUGGCGCAGCGGCAAAGCUUUGCCUUGUAACAAUGAGGCGACGGGUUCGAGUCCGGGAACCAGCCUCUUGCGGAAAUGUAGGGAAAGGCUCUGUAGAAAAGACCCAAAGUGGUCGGACCAUUCCCCGGACCUGGCGCAAGCGGGAGCUACGUGCACCGGGAUGCCCAUUUUCUAAAAGGAAGACGGUUAUGUAAACAUUUAAAAUUUUGCUUCCAAGUUCUAAGUUUCUAACUCAUGCUAUCUUAAGUGAAUCCAUCCAGCACAUAUUUCAAUUCUGAAAAUAUAACUACACCUGACUGCCAGGAAGAACUUUCUUGGAUCCAGGUUUGUGCAGUUCACGCCCUGCCUCAUAUGAGGGCAGCGGAUCGAUAAGUGGACAGCCCAAUGUGUCAUGCUGCAAACACACGAGAUUUCAUGGAGAAAUCCAACUGUUUUUUUUACCUCUGCAUCACCCAUAACUCGAAGAGAUCCACAUUAAUAGCAGAUGUGAAAACAAAAAUCACAGGCCAAGUAGUCCUGGGAAAACAGGAACUUGUUCAUAAAUGUUCAACUCUAAUAUACCACAAUGGAACAUGGCACCAUAAGAGAGAAAGUUUCCAUGUUCUCUGAGUUCUACUCAACUCGAGAUACCUGAAAGCUUAACAAAAAAACUCGUUUUCUUCGCGUAUAAGUUAUAACAGAACAAUGCAACUGAAAACUAGGUGUACGCUCUGCAUCAUCUCUUAAAGAUCCAAGAGUAUAUAGGCUACAAUGACAAGUCUUUCUGUAGUUUACCAUUCUGCAUAAAAGAACUAAUAAAUGCAUCAUACAUGGACAGUAAGACACUGAAUGUGUGAAAUCAUAAUCAUACAUGAGAACAACCUUCCUUCAGUACACUUCAAAUCCAUACUUUCCUAGGACAACAUAGCAAAGCAUAGAGUACUGAACCAAUAUAGCAGGUGUUCAGUUGUGCUCACCUUUCAUGAUCCCCAGGACAAUAAGACCACAGAAGAACAUGCAAGGUGAAACAACCUUCGUCAACUCAAUUUGGUGAUAGCUGACAAAAGAACAGGAGGAGUCCAUGCACAAGAUUAGUCCAUAUACUGGGUGGUGUACCAGAUAUGGCAGAUGAGAUGAAUACACCUGCAAAUAAGGUGGGGACAUAAGGUAUGAGCUUACUGAAAUAAUAAUGCUGCAAACAACAAGUAUAAAAAAUUGCUUUACAUAAAAGUUCAGCACUACAGGCAAAACAAUGCUUAGAAAUCUAGAGAAUGCUGACCUUAAUUUAAACACAAAUCUAUCAAGAUAAUCAAGAAAUAAAGAUGAACCAAUGUGACAGAUCGAGUGACAUGUAUCUGAGAAUAAAAGGAUUGUUAUUCAAAUAAUAAAAGUACGGCCACUAAACCUGCCACGAUAUCCAUCACAUACAUACCACAAACUGUACAAACAUAAGCAUACUACUUUCAUCUACUCCCUCCGUUCCAAAAUAUAAGACCUUUUAGAGAUUUCACUAUGGACUACGUACGGAGCAAAAUGAGUGAAUCUACACUCUAAAAUAUGUCCAUAUACAUCCGUAUGUAGUCUACAGUGAAAUCUCUAAAAGGUCUUAUAUUUUGGAACGGAGGAAGUAGGAGCUAAUGUAAUAGAGAAAGACAGAUAAAUACAAUAGUUGGCAUGUUGGAGUUCAUGGAAUCGAGAGUGUAACUACAUUGAACCCAGGGAUAGCGACACAUUCAGUAGCUGACAAACAGGAGCAGAAAAAUCAAGAGACAAAUGAAAUCAGGCUAGAAAAAGAAUAUUUUCAGUGAAGCUAGUUUACCUAAGAGGGUUUCUUAAACUGGUGACAUUCCCUUUAUGAAUUAUUUAGCAUUACUUGUGGUCAUCACUAGAAUGAAGCAAGAACAGAUGCUGCCAAUCACCCUGGUGCAUCAGCUGCAGAAAACCCGAAUCUAGAUACCUGUAUUGAACACCAUAUGCACUUCCUGACUCAUGGCACGUUUUCAGGAAGAAGACCACCAUCAUAGCUAAGCUGAGCUAAGCUUACUCACGGUGACAGUAAACCGAACAUGCUGCAGUCCAGGCACGAAAGAAAUGAACAUCAGGAGAUGCAAAAUAAAAUAUGAAACUUGUACGUUGCAAAGCCGAAAUGGUGAUGGGUGGAUGCAUCCUUGCAUCAUAUUUGAUGAAGAUGUCCAAGCAAAAUAACUCAGCAACCGUCUUUGUCUCAAGAUUAAUCUGGGCACCAAUUUCAGUAGCAUUUGCUUCAGAAAAGAGAUGGUCUCAGCCAUAGUGACUCUAUCCUGUAGUCCAGAGCAGAACCCAAAUCAAAUUAGCUGCUUAAGGCAUUGAAAGAUGAAAGCAGGUCAAUCUAUGGGCAGCUGAACUGAAUUAAGAGCUGUGUACUUUACAUAUCCAUUUAUAGUUUUAUAAUCAUUAAUACUCUGAAAGGAAUAAUCCCUAGCAAAAGACUAGAAAGAUCCAAAAGCAAGUGAGUAACUGUUAUUACGAGCAUUACUCUAUUCUCAACAAUAGUGAUCACCGAGAAGCAAGAAUACUGGACAAGAAUUACUGCCAUUUUGGUCCUGUGUUACCCAGACCCAAGCAUUGAAUGCACAUGUCAAUAUCUGCAAAGCAGUAAACAGCAACAGAGAAUAGACUAACUUAACUGCUCAUUGAUGCCAAAACUAGUAGUAACAAAUUUGAAGAUCCAUGGCAAGCAUCAGAAAGCGAGCAUCUGGAAGGAAAAUCAAUCAGCAAGGCAGUGUCUUGGUGUUAGGAGGGGGCUGCAGAUUCAGGUUUUCCCUUCAAAGGAUGCAGUAGGAGUAGUAUACACUAUACCUUGGUUCGCUAGGUUGUCGUUACCAUGGGUUUGGUGGAGAGCGCGUUGGGUACUACUAGCAUGUGAUCUUGGUCUCGAGCGCAUGGCCCAAGAAGGUUGGUGGUCUCCUCUUCGUCUUUCCUCGCCCUCUCUUCCUCCCCUUCCCAUUCCUCCUCAUCUUCCUCUUCCUUCCUGCAGGCAGCGAUGGCAGCUCGAAGGGGCGAGCCUGAGAGGAAGACAGGGGCAAGAAGAUGUAGGGGAGGAGGGCUCGGCCGCCGUGCCCGACGAAGAUGGCCACCACCGACGGAGGCAGCGGGUCCCGGACCGCCGCCCCACGAGACGAGACGAAGAGGGCCGGGAACGGAGGAGGCAGAUCCCUGCUGGUCCGCGGAGCCCGGAGCGCAGUUUGCCGCGCUGAAUAGGGGCGGCCGGGCGGCGGGCGGGGAGGUGGCGAGCGCCGAGCGGCGGCGGUGGAGGUGGCGAGGAGGCGCAGAAGGUUCAGAGCGGAUCCGAUUCGCAAAAGAAUAAAAAAAAAUCAGUGCCGAUCCGACGGACGGGGUCAACCGCGAGCCGAUCCGACGGACGAGACGUGGUCGCGUGAUAGGCCACGCCCACGGGAGCCCGUGAUAGCCCCCGCUUAAAACCCCGAGUCCCGUGCCAGUGCCACACACAGACGCGCACGCGUGGGCAAAACGCUAGCCUGAGUCCUGACCAUGGUGGCGGUGGCGGCGGCGGAGGCUGGAGGCGACUGGCAGGAGUGCCCGGUGAAGGAAGCGGUGCACGUGGAAGAGGGAGCGCUGGAGCUGGUAUGUUUCUUCAUAUUCUUUACUCUUUCUGCUGGUUCAGAUUACAUUAGAUUCAACAAUCGUUAGAUUUGAUUUGGUGGUUUAGACCGUGUUCGGUAAUCCUCCAGCUCCCGGAAUCCGCGGAGCUGCAGCUCCUGCUUUCUUAAACUGCAGCUCCACCAGCUGGAGCAGAGAGUUGGGGAGCGGCGGGAUACCGAACAGGGUAGGUUAGUAUUAUUACAUUAGAUCCUUCCGUGUGAUCAUAGAUCUGCGAAACUAGAUGUUGGACAAAGCUAGUUUUACUUGUAUACCUGUGGUGAUCUGCUUGGUUGAUGCUGUCAAGGCCUUGUUCUGUUUGGAGGGGGUCCAAGGGGGAUUGAGGGGCUGAUGGCUGAGGGGGAAUCAAAAUCAACCCCCUCCCUCCAACCCUACUUAAUUCCCUUGGCCCUGGGAGAUGGUUAACAGAACAAGGCCCAAAGGAUUGAGGAGAGAUCCCUGGAACUAAUCCAUGUUGCUUUUAAUCCAUAAUAAUAAUACUGUUAUUCUGGACAGCAUGUUCUCCUCUGACAUAUAUACCUGUAAAUUUUGCAGACGUGGGCUUUCGACGUGUUCGAUGUGAGUUGCCCUUUCACCCAAUCUCUGGAACUAAUCCAUGUCGCUUUUAUUAAGCAGUUUCGUUAUUCUGGACAACAGUUCUAAACAUAUACCACUUGUAAAUUUUGCAGGUGGGGCCUUUCGACAUGUUCUAUGUGAGUUGCCCUUUCACCCAAUCUCUGCAACUAAUCCAUGUCGCUUUUAUUAAGCCGUUUCGUUAUUCUGGACAACGGUUCUAAACAUAUAUCACUUGUGAAUUUUGCAGGAGGCGCCUUCCUGCGUGUUCUAUGUGAGUUGCCCUUUCACCCAUUCUCUGGAACUAAUCCAUGUCGCUUUUAUUAAGCCGUUUCGUUAUUCUGGACAACGGUUCUAAACAUAUAUCACUUGUGAAUUUUGCAGGAGGCGCCUUCCUGCGUGUUCUAUGUGAGUUGCCCUUUCACCCAUUCUCUGGAACUAAUCAUGUCCCUUUUAAGCCAUUCGGGUAUUCUAGACAGCAAUUCUCAUAUGUAAUUGUACAUUUUGCAGACUUGUGCACCCUCUGAAUUGAGGACUGACACCAAGUACAAUGCAAGGACUGGCAACAAGUUGUCGCCACUAGUGGUUCGCAACGGCGAACUGUUUGGUGCCAGAGAGAUGAACAUGGUAAUUAACAUGUCAAAAUUACUUUGGCAAAGUACCUGUCCAAUCUAAUGCGCUUCGAUAUGUUCAUGUCUUGGUAUGCAGUACUACUACUAAUGCACCUAGAAAACAUAAAUAUUGAUACCUUGUAUGCUUAUAUUUUUCCACUUAUAUCAAUUGAUAAAUGAAGCAAAGCAUCCUAGAAUGUUACUUGAGCUUUGUCAUGUAUAAUAGGACUUUGUACAUCUACUUGGUCACUGCCCUCUCUCAUUUAUAACUGAAAUGCUAUAAGAACUUAGCCAGUAGAAGAGGAAUACCAUUGUUCACACAUCAGAGCUCUUGCUAUUUCAACCAAUAUUUGAUUUUGCAAUUUCAGAUAUCUUCGCAUUUUUUUGAUGUUAUGGUUACUGUUUCCAUACAGAGUGAGGGCGGGCCUUGGCUGUCCCCGCGGACUGAUCCACCGACUAACGUCAAGUUCUAAGCCACACAUGUGGUUUGAAUUUGGCUCUAACCUGUUUGAGAAACAAGAUUUUGUAUGGUUUGUGUGUACUCCCCUGUACAGUUCUGUUCAGAUACAAAAGUCAUACCCAAUAAAUGUUGCCUCUUCCUGCUGAUCGGGGAGGCAAAUAAGGUCCGCUUCUUCAUUUCUCUUGCCCUACCUUAUUUUAUUUAGUAGCAGUGUGCUCACUAGUUUUAACCCGCACGUUUAGCAACCAGCAACAGAUUUAAGCUUAUGUGCUUGUGAGGUGUGGAUAAACUAUAACUGGCAUUUUGUGCUCGUCUCCGUCGACCUAUCCUACUGGUGUGCUGCUGGUGCAGGUUGGCUAACCCUGGGCAUCUUGACUUGAUCUAUAUAUAUAUAUAUUCCUCAAUUGAAAACACUUAACUGAAAUGAAGUACAAACUGAAACAACUGUCAGAAGGAUGAUCUCCUUGACACCACUGUCGUGCCUCCUCGGAUCCCAGCCAGCAUAAGGCCCAGCCAUCUUCAGUUACACUUCUGAAAUUUUGGAUUGAAAUACUUAACUUCCACGACCCCACACCACUUCCUGCCACCUAGCAUCAAUGUUCAUUCUUUGCUGCUCCAAGCUUGAUGAUUGAAUCCUUAGACAUGUCUCUCUUGGUGAGAUUUUUCUUUUGGACAGCAAGCCAAGCAUACAACUAACUGUCGGAAUGCUGGUUAUGUAAAGCCCUUCAAGCUGACUUUGUAUGUGCCUGGAUUUGUUCACUUCCAUGUGAUAUUGUCCGGAAUAUGCAUAUAAUAUUUUUGGUUGUUGUUUUUUUUUUCUCAAAAGCAUGUCUUCCAUCUACAAUCACAUAGCUAUUGUGUGUUCCCUACCGCAUCUCUCUGAAACGCCUAACACAAAUAAGAGUCUGAAAUAAACACCACAAAUGGUGGGUGAGCGUCUCUGUUCUUCCUACUAGACAGCAAGUAAAGUACAUCCAAGGUUUAACUGCAAAGUUAAACGUAACAAUACUAGUAUAGCCAAAUAAGAUGAGUAGGAUUGGGCAAAUUUGCCCCCAUAAGAGCAAAUCUAGCGGGAUCCCGUAUAUGCUCGCUGGCCCGUAUAAUUCUGGUGGCUGGUGGUUUUACAGUUUUCUGUCAAUUUUGGGCCCAAACAGAUCCUGUAAAAAUAGCCUGGCCUGGAAAAGAUGUAUAGGCGGCCCGUAAAUUCCCUCCUCCGCCGCUAUAAGUACGGGGUCGGGUGAGUUGAGCUCCGGCGUUGAGCUCCUCACAUCCUACAUAUCCUUCACCGUGAUCCGCUCCCUCUGCCGCUAGCGAGGUUGAACUCUGGCGAGCAAUUAACCACAUGCAACCUUUCCUUUCUCGCGCACACCCGCAAUCCAUGGCAGGCAGUAACGGGAGCAGCCAUGAUGACCACGUGGGCGCUUGCGGAGGCUGAGGUGGGCACCGGGGCGAGGCAAGCAAGUGUCACCGCCUCGACACCGACAAAGGCUCCUCAAGCCUUGCCGUCCUGAUCCACUCAAGCUCGAGUUACGAUGACGACAAGGACUGGCGCGAUUGGAGGUUGAGGCAGGCUUGCAGGCAUGGCAACCUCUCCUGGAGCAACGACAGUCAGGCGUGGGGCGGGUACCAUGUGAUCGACAAGCAUAUCACCCCUCACACCCAGCACUGUCGCGAGACAGAACUAGUGGUGCGUGACGCAAAGCAUGAGGUGGCGGUCGGCGUGGAAGGAGCUCAGGUGCGCCUCGAGCUUGCACGGAACAAGCACGGCCUCGCCGUGACUAUGUGCAAAACCACGGUGAAGUAUUACCACGGAUAUGAUGAAUGAUCUAGGAUUAGGUUUAUCUUUGUUUUGUUGAUGCACUCCGGCGGUUAGGUCUAAUCUUCAAUGCAUGUAUGAAACUAUCUUCUUUUGUGCUUUGUUUGAUGAACAACUUUGUGUUUGUGAUGAUGAAGAAGCUCAAGUUCUUGUGCGAAUAUUGUGUUCAAAUUUGCAGUAGCGUUUUUACAAGAUCAAUGCCGAUGUGCGAUACCCUAAAAGUGUUUUAGGCCCUGUUUGGAACCACAAUAAAUUAUGAUAAUCUAGAUUAUGAAGAUAGAUUAUAUAAUCAAGUUUAUAAAAACAAUCUAGGUGGGCAUGUUUGGAGGUCAAAUUAUAUAUUGUAAUUCAGAUUUUUUUUUACAUUGCACAAUGACCUGUCUGUCCCAUGCGUGCGCUAAAGAAAAAAAAGGAGAAAGGUUGCGGUGGCAGAAAUUUGUAAUUACCUUCAACUUUAUAAGGAUAAUGGGUCAUUAGCAAUUCAUAAUUUGAUUUUAUCUAGUGUAGAGUAGAUUGUGAGUUUUUAAUAAACUGUUUAUCUAGUUUUUAUAAAUUUAUAGUGAAUUAUAAAAGUUGGAUUAUCAUAAUUUGAGUGGUUCCGAAUAGGACCUUAGAGGACCCCUCAAACGAUUUUUGUGAUACAAAUUUAUAGUGGAUCUGCUACAGUUGCUCUAAAUGUCCACGGACGUGCGGACAACGUCUUCCCAUACCUCAUUUUAUCGUCCGGACAAUCACACCCUUUGUAUUCAAACCCUUGUUUUCAUACAAACACGUAACAUGUUCAUCAUUCUUUUUGUAGGAAUCGAUUCACGGAUUCAACAUAAACCAAAAUAUAUAUUAUGAUUCAGCAAUUCAACAAAAGCCAAAAUAAAAUUCCACAAUUAAUACAUUGACGGUACACUAAUGAAUCAAUCGCCUCCAUUGUUUCUCGUUGAUCUCUUUGUCGAGGAAUCACCUUUUGCUUUCGUCAUCCAAGAGACUAGUGUCCUACAACAUGAUCUUCGAAUCCUUCGUGACCCUCGCAAGCCUCAUCUUAUCUUUUCUCAAUCUCAAUUGUCUCCAAUGUCUAUGCCUUUUCAACCUCUCAUUUUGCUCAUUUCUCUUGCAUCUCCAUGCCUAUCCUCUCCCUCUCAAUGCUCGACCUCUCUCGCACCCUCUUUAUGUCGAACACCAUCAUCUCUCUUUGCACAUCCAAGAAAAGCUUGUACCUCUCCCUCUCACCCCUUUUAUCCUCCAUUUUCAUCAAUGUCUUCCCCUUUGUUGAAAAGAUGUCCAUCCAUGGAAGGGACAUUUCGCUUGCUGCGUCAUCAGGCAUGAGCCUAUAUCCUUCCCCCACUUCUUCUCUAUCAAGUGUAUAUUCCUCUUUGGCAUGGUCCCUUGUUUGUCCACACUUCCACUUUAUCUUCGUCAUCCAAUCCAAUAGAUUGGCGAGAGCUUGAGCCACCAUUUUUCUUCAUCUUCUUGGUGAGGUUCUUGAGAUCUUCAAAGAGGGUGUACCUCUUCGGUUUCCCCCAUUCAACACCACCCAACAACGGAACAAAGCGAAUGGGUUCUUCUCAAUUUGAUGGUACAAAGUGAUGGCAAACCCCGUCUAGCAAGAAAAAUCACACGUCAACAUAAUACCAUGAACGAAGCAAGCAAGAAACGUGAUGACCAUGUGAAGGCAAAACUUGCAUGGCUUUCAAUUCCAGUGUCACUUUGAUGCAUAUUCACCACUUGUGCAUACAAACCGCAAAAUAUGUUCACAUCUCUUGGAUGGUGGCUCAUAUAUGUUGGAGAGAGCCCUCGGUGAGGGUGGUAUGAAUAGGAUGCGGUUGCAUGCAUAUAGUGCUUGUGUUCAUGGUACCAAGCAUGGAUUUUUUUUCUUCCAAAUGCCAUUUUGCUGCAUUCCACAAAUUGGAUCCAUGCUUGUGGCCAAGUAAGCUCUACGCAACAAAACAUCUUCAUGGGUUGAGAAUGUUGGUCCUCCUUGGUAUCACCAACUUCAUAAGUUGAAGAUUCUUGACCGUCAUUUAUCACGUCCAUCAUCAAUGUGUCCUAAAGAUGCAUCACAAUGAAACUACAGUCCUAAAAUUGAUCCAAAAAUGCAUAUGGGGCAAGAGAACACGUGCUAAUUUUGGUCCAGCUGUUCUCCAUGGCGCUGGCGGAUGAUGUAGCGAGUGUUGAGGUGGUCGACAACGUGGACACGGAGCAAGGAUGGAGGAGGGCGAUGACGCGGAUGUGGGAAAGGAAAGGACAAACGCGGGAGAGAUCCGGUUGAUUUGGAGGGAAUUGAGGUUGGUCCGGCCUUCCCGGAUCCGACAUGACGGACGCAUCCGGACGGAUCCAAAUCUGUUCCAUAUAUGGGUUGGGUUUGAGUGAUACCCAAUAGCCCAGACAUAUUGGGUUGGGUUUUUAUUUUUUUUAUCUGCAUUGUUUCUGUCUGGAUAUAUAUAUAUAUAUAGGGGCGUAGCAGGGGUCUGGUUGGAGAUGCUGUAACGGGGUGCUUUCCAGAUGAAGACAACAAGGAAAUCCGCCAACAAUUGAUGUACAAAGACGUGGAGGAAUCUGGCAUGUGCUCAUCACAUUAGCAUGUUAUCCGACGUGGUUGCAUCAUGCGAACCAGCUCAUCCAUUAGUAGCUCGUUUGCUCCGAGUGCAUAACAUACAAUACUCAAUAAGAUUGCUGCAUAUUGUGCUGCGUGCAGGAUUCUUGCUGUAAUACAAGGGUUUCAGUUUCAGCCUCAUGGCUUAGCGAUUUGUUUCAUGAGAAAGUUUUUCCAUCUCGUUCGCUCAAUGGAACUCUCUAGGUCGCUGAGACAAAAGGGACGACACAAUUCAGUAUGAGAUUAAGGAUAUACGUUAAUACGUAGGAGAGGGAUCUCUAAGCUGAUGUAGUCAUAAAAAAAUGGCUAGUAGACAAUAAGAUCGAUGAACCGAGAUCCUUUUUAUUAAAGAAGCGGAGCAAGAUACAGAUUGAUUUAUGUGGCUCCAUUCUCCAACGAUGAUACAGAGAAAUGGUGCUAUACGUCUUAAGAGUAGUUGUAUCAUCGUCAUCAUCAUGCCCCUGCGUGACUGAUGCCUUCUCCCAGGUCCAUCUUCUUUCUUCUGAUCAGGGUCCCCAGGUAUAGUUGGUAAAAGUGUUCUGGCAUGAGCCACAGGAUGGUCGUCAGCUCGCCGCCGCUGUUGAGCUUCUCGGCGUGCGCCUUCCUGCUGCACUUGUUGCCCGCGUACACGAGAAUAUCCGUCCACACGUCGAGGACAAGUUUCACCGAGUCAAGCGUGCCAUCCUUCUCCAUUGUCAGCAGCUGCUUGGCGAGCUGAGCCACAUAGGGGAGACGAGGAGCGUCGUAGCUGAAGCUUCUGCUCUCAUACUCAUCAUACACGUUUCUUGCAAGCUCCUCCCUGUCGGCGAUCCUGGAGCUAGAUUCAGGGUCAUCGUGGAGGCGGAACAGGUUCUUGAGCGUGGCACCGAGGUUCAUGCUCUGACGCCUGUGCGUCGAUCGCCGGAUCUUGACCAGGUUUUCGCAGGUUCGUUGGUACAUCCUGUUCUGUGGGAGGCCCGGUAGCAUAUCCGGUUGCUCCACGAGAAGGAACAUCAUGUAGUUGGAUAUCACCCUGAUCGCCUCCACGUCGAGCCAUGCCUCCUCUUCUUUGGCUCGAUCGCUCUUGGCGAGGAAAACAUCGCUGCAGACGUGCCAGAUGAUGAUGCACUCCUGGAACUCGACGCCGAGGGAGUCUUUGAAGAUGCCGGUGAACAGCUUGUUGCUGACCAGUGUUUCCUUACCCCACCUGUUCCUGAGCAUGCCUAGCGAGUUCACGGCCCCCUCCUUGUACAUCUUGUUCAUGUGUCUAGAGAUGCAAUCCUUGACAUGGUCCGGCAUGUCGAUGACCCAUGAGUGAUGCUCCCUGUUCCAAACCUCGUUCAGACCAAACCCAACCAUCUUGGCCAGCCUGCCGAGCAGAGGCCUGGUGACAGAGCGAGUGCAGAAGUGCAGCAUGUUGUACUGUCCCAUGGUGUAUGACCACCUCCUUGAUGUGUACCGGCUGCCUCCUCCUACCCUGACAAGAUGGUGAAGGUAUGCAACCACGCGCCUAAGCCGAUCCCAUCUUUCGUUACACAGAGCCGCGUACCGGAGCCAGCGCCAUCUGGUGGUGCUCAGGAAGGCAAACGUCCAAGAGGAGCCUAGGGCGUUGAGCAGCGACGUCGUCUCCAUGAACAAGGCACCACCGUACAGCACGUAGGUGAUGUAGACGUCGACGCUGCGGUUGUCGUCGUCCUUGUCGAUGAGCUUGAAAAGCAGCAGCGAGGCGACAAUGGCGAGCGGCGAGACGAGACGUACCGAGUAGCCGAACCAGGUGUGGAUGACGGGUGCCUUGGUGUAGAGCGUGUCAUACAUGAGGGACAGCUCCGUCUCCAUCAAUCGCCAUAACUUGACCUCGCCUAUCAUCUUGGUGGUGUCUUGGCCGUGCGAGUCGUCUUCCAUCACCGGAUAAUCGACCACGGCGCGCUUGCAUAUGUGGAACAGCGAGUGAGCUCGUCGCACGAGGGACUCCUCGUCCAACUCCUCGUCCUUCAACACUCUAUCCUGAGGGUGGAAGUGCCCAUGCAUGGCCGGCGGUUGCUUCUCGAUGGAGCCCCGGAUGCUGUCCAGGUUGCCGCGCAUGAGCGCCCACGUCUUCUCCCCGUACUUGACAGCACCGAUGGCGAACAUCAGGACGGAGGCAAGCAGGAGCGAUGCUCCUCGGUCGGCGAUGUGCUCGUAGAGGACAUAGACGGCUCCGGAGACCUGAAGGACGGCAUGGAGCAAGUGGCGCUUCCACAGCUUGCUGUCCUCGAGGGAGUAGGCGGUGAUGUUGUCCGGGCCGCCGAGGUGCAGCAGGAGGAAUGGCGCCCAGAGCGCGACGAUGGGGUGAUCGCGUGGGGCGCCCUUGAGGGAGAGGUGGCCGAGGGCGAAGGUGGCGGUGUAGUCGGCCAGCUGAUACGCCAGCCAGAGCAGGGAGCGCAGCACCGGGUGGGCACCGCGCCUGCGGAUCCCGGCAAAGAGGAAGAGGGCGACCUGGAGCCCGAGGCUGAGGAGCACAAGGAUCUGGAUGGACCAGCGCUUCCACAGCUCCCCGGGCCAAGCAGCCAUUGCUCCUCCUGUUCCACGAAAUGUAUUAAGCUAAACAAAAUAGAAAAUACACAUAUAUAUCGCCACUAAAUAUAUGAUGCGUUGCGGCUAAACUAUGAUGGUAUACGUACCGUCGUCCCAAAUUCGGUCUGGUCCACGGCCGGCAGUGGAAGUGGAACAGGGGAAUGGUUGAGGCUGGAUAGGCUCAGACUCGUUGCUUCUCGACCCCCAGUCUCACCAAACGGGUAGUAUAGCUAAACUGGAAGAAGAUGAUCACUCCAUCCAUUAUCUUUUUUUUUUUUGCGGGGAACUCCAUCCAUUAUCCAUAGGUGUGAUUCCGUGCUUGAUGGUUCCAACUAAUCUAUCAAUUAUCUCCUGCUCGCGCACACACACUACCAAUCUAGCAACCAUAUAUUAGGGCAUGAAGGAGAUGAUUGAUGGAUUAGUUCCUGGCCCAUGUGGCGGCUAGAAACCAGUACGACAUGAAGUAUGGUUAAUUUAUAGUUGUAUAAAUGGACAACUUUAUUUGUAGCCAAAAGUCGGACCAAUGUAGAUCGGAUUGCACCGCCGCCAAUUAUAUUAGCACACACUUGUACUGUAGAUCGGAUCAAUGUUGCACCCGCAAAAAAAAAGAAGAAAUUGCUAGAGAAUCUUAUGGAAAAAAAACAACCCCGACCAUCUAUUAUUUGACCCUCAUUAUUGAACACAUAUUAAAGGAUUUUAUAUUCAUCAGUCAAUCUGAUAACCCGCUUUGGAGAUCAUGAAUUCAUCAUCUCAAACUAUAUACAACUACAUGUACAUUUUGUUUGAGAUCAAAAAUCUGUCUAUUGAUGAUCACAAGUUACAUAUUUAUAGUCCCCGAAAGGACGCAUCCGAAGGGACACAACGGUUACAAGAGUUGCAUCUCCUUGUAUGACGGUUUGGUAAGUGGAGAAUUAAUCCUUAAUUAAAAAAUAUUAAUUAAGUCUUAACACUCCCCUUAAUCUACGUUUGUCCAUGUAGUAUCAACAUCUUGAUAAAAUCUCCUUGAAGUUGCUUUGUCAUUGAGAAUGUUCAUCAUCAUCAAGUUCAGUAAGUCUCCAUGAAAAACCCUGUGGGAAAAAUGUGAGGAGGUAGAUGUUUGAUGUGUUGUCAAAACUCCUUCAAACCCAAUGGGAAAAUAAGGAGAAAUUAUCACAACAUAUAAUGAUUAUUGUCUCUUUCAACUCAAUAUGGAAAAACCCAUAGAACUAAGAGGACAAUAAAUAUGUCGUAUAUACUUUUCUAAAAAACCCGGUGGGGAAAACAGAAAGUAUGACAUAUGGUCUUGUGUUGAUAUUACCUCAUUAAAAACCUUUAUGAAAACGUGUAAAGUGAACUCAUGAAGGGAAAAGAGUAUAAUAUGAUCCAUUGAACAUGAACAAUUCAGAAAGAUACUCCCCCUAAUUCUUGCAAAUUUCGAAGCUCUCACAUACCAAUUCCAUGAACACAUUUAUGGAACAUAGAAGUUGGUAGAGACCAGAUGAACAAAUCAGUCGCAUGAUUUGACUUGCAAGAUAUGCAAUAUAGUGAUAUUGCUUAUUAUAUAACAUGUUUGCAUCCGGGCAACACAAGAAACAUUAUCCUUGAGAUAAUGGUUGGUGGAUGUAGCCAUGAGGUCUGUUUCAAAGACUCUUCAUGAGAGGGCUACCACACCUAGUAGGAACACUAAGCUUGUCUACGACCCGACAUAGUGGGGAUCUGAUCAAUGUAUCCAGUGAUAUCGGUGUUCACAUUUCUGUGAAAUUGAAGAACCAGGACAAGAUGUUUGAUGCCUUGGAGAUAUCGAAAGAUAUUGUUGAGUACCAACCAAUUGUGUUUGGUGGAUCCAAUGGCAUUAUGGAACGUUGAGUCCCAAUAUCUCAGUUCCAUCAUCUCUCGGCCUAAAUAGAUCUUUCUCUACGUCUAGAGAAUGAACUACCAUGAGAGUUACGGAUGGAUAAGACUUGUCCACAAUGAAUUUCUCCAAUAUAUUUUGGAUAUAGACAACAUAGUAUACCAUAAUGUAUGAAUGAAGGUGCUCAAGUUGUAGUAACGAGCGGUAUUUUGGUUUACCCAAAUCCUUCAUUUUAAACUCCGCCAUUUAGAUGAUUACAUGUGUCGUCAUUGCAGACACAUAAACAUGGAUAAUCAUCAUUGUAGGAGUAAUCCUUAUGCAUAAGGAACUCACUACGUCGGUUGUACCAUAUGUACCGACAACAAUUAGUCGUAUGGUGGCUUACUGAUUUUUACAGUAUGUUGCAUUUUGCAUUUCGAUUCAGAAGUCAGAUUCCAUCGGGAAUCAAUCAUAUAUGUCUGAAUCUAGUGACCCACAUGGAUAUGUGAUCACUACAUCUAUCAAUUGCAGAGAUAGAUGUUUUUGUACUGCCAAUAAUAUAAGUUAUCGGAAAGAGAUUCCACCUCUAGAGAAUGGGUAUCUGCGUGAACCCUUGUGCUACAAUACUUGCUCUUUGUUUCACCACCUCGUUGUUCUCAAUUCUAUUUCGAGAAGAAAACUCGUGUAGGUAUUGUUAUGAAUACCUUCCCAUUAUUGAGCAAGAUAAUUUCUACUUAGAUUAUACCCUUUGCUUGAGUUCAGUCUGAGUGUUGCUCACACUUUGCGAUGGCCAUGGUCUUUGGAUCUGAAUCAUUUGAAAGGUUCUGCAAUCUAGUUGAGAAAUGUAUGUCAAAAAUUGUAGACUUCCGGUUAUAUGAUUCUCCAGAAUCGUUACCCAUGGUGAUAUAAUUGAUGGAAAUGUCGUUACCCAUGGUGACUGCUCGCGAUUUCCCAAUGCGAUUGAUUCGGAUAUCCCGAUGACCCGGUCAUUGUGUGCACUAUGAUCUGGGUUGGUGGAGGUUUCCCAUCCACUAGGUAUGCUACCCAUUAGGUGUCUGCCAACGUUAAGUUGACUUGCAUUUACUGAUUCAUAGGCCUUGAUAUCCUUGCUUGCGAGAAGCUGAAUCCUGAUGUACUUUUGCCAUACAUCUCCCCCUGUUGCAUCGAACGGGGAGCGGAGUGGUUUUUGUUGGUACCUCCACUCUUUCAGGCGUGCUUUUGCAAGAUUGUAGGAUUGUGUGACACCUUUAUAUGCAGUAAAUGAAUCUGGCAGGUUAUUUGCAAUGAGUUGCAAAUCUUCUGAACGCAUAGUUCAGAUCUUUGAGUACGUGGAUUUGAGGCAGAAAUGUGUUGAACAUUCCACUAAUUUCCUGGCAUUCUUUAUGGUACUUGAAUUCUCCCCUAAUGCCUGGAAAUAUUCCUCAUUGAAUCAGCAUACUGGCCUUGAAUAACUCCCCAUGUGAGGGGCUUGAGGUAUUGACGGAAAUACAAUUAUUCCUCACAUAGAUCCCAACUAUAUGUUGAGGGGCAAUGAUGUAUGCGGGGUGGUGAUAUCGGUAUGCAACCGAAUUACCGCAGAUGGGAAAUACUUGGUAGAUUUCCACGUAUCAAAGAUAUAAGAGAAUAAUAUUAUGCAGUUCUGUCAUGAGCGUGUAAAACUACAUGACUCCAACGUAAAGUUGGUAAGUUGCAAUUCCAAAGUAAAGAUAAUGCAAUGAGCUUAAUUCUUUGGACAAAGAAUUCUACCAAACCAUUUUGAGUCUAGACAUUAGGACAAAUUGCCAAACUUCAAUCCAAGGGCCAUUGAGAAGGCACUCAAGGAGAAUUAUGCAAUGUUAUCCAUUCAAUUUGCUUGAAAUCGAUGUCAGGAUAAUGAGCCAAUGGUUUCGUGUGAGGAAAGCACACACUUAAGACCAUCUUGUAGAUAUGUCUUUAAGAACCAUGGAAUGCCUGAAUAGUCUAGUCAAUGGAUGGGAAGAGUCACAUACCUCGACUUGCAUGCAUUCAAGGAGUCUGAGUGGUCCAGUGUAGACUUCAAGGUGCGCGAGCCUUAAAAUUAGCUUCCCUUUGUCACAUGUAGUGCACAUAAAAUCCAAAUAUUGUUAGAAUUUAGCAUCAUAAUAAUCAUAAACUAUUGGAAUUGCUGAUAGUUUUGGUUUCAACUCAAUGUCUUCAUGACCAAGGUGAGUAUGCCAAGUUUGUCAUGUAUAAUACACUCUAGAAAACUAUCUCAUAUGCAACAUGUGCUACGGGUUUUGUCGAAUGUGUAGUACAAUCCAGAUAAUACAUAGAGAAUGUGCUUUCUAUAUCCAUUGCAUAUGGUAAAGAGAAGUUAUUUAUCUUUGUUGUCAUCAUAAGUUUUGUUAUGGAAACUAUUUUGACGGAUACCUCUAUGGUUUAGUAGGGUACGAGUUAAACCGGGAAGCAAUAAAGCAUCCUAACAUUACUCGAGUACCCACAGGGAUAAUAAAUAUGACUCAAGUUGAGCCAACAAAUACCUCAUCGCGUCUAGCGAUUUUAAAAUAUCCCCUUUCUCUCAACGAGAGUGGAAACACUGGACUUCCCUGAGUAUAGAGUUUGUGGUGCCUAUGUCCACAAGGCACAUAUCAUCUUUCAUCGGAUUGACUCUCUUAGAAAUCUAUAUGAAGAUUCUCAAUAUGAAAAUCACUGUCAAAUAUAUAGAAUACAUACAUAUGUAUUUGUACCAAAGUGCUGAUACAAUAUAUUGUGGUAUAUAAUAUAUGAUGACAACAAUACUUAUGUUCUUAUUAAGACAUCGUAAAUGGACAUAAACUAUAUUGACCAUUCAGGAGAUUGAGAGACUACACAAAGUCUUCAAACAUGUUAGUUGAGUCAUAUUCAACCAUCAUAUUCUCCGUUCCCAUAGGGUCCCGUUGUUAGGGAACGUCGCAUGGGAAACAAAAAAUUUCCUACGCGCACGAAGACCUAUCAUGGUGAUGUCCAUCUACGAGAGGGGAUGAGUGAUCUACGUACCCUUGUAGAUCGUACAGCAGAAGCGUUAGAGAACGCGGUUGAUGUAGUGGAACGUCCUCACGUCCCUCGAUCCGCCCCGCGAACAAUCCCGCGAUCAGUCCCACGAUCUAGUACCGAACGGACGGCACCUCCGCGUUCAGCACACAUACAGCUCGACGAUGAUCUCGGCCUUCUUGAUCCAGCAAGAGAGACGAAGAGGUAGAAGAGUUCUCCGGCAGCGUGACGGCGCUCCGGAGGUUGGUGAUGAUCUCGUCUCAGCAGGGCUACGCCCGAGCUCCACAGAAACGCGAUCUAGAGGAAAAACUAUGGAGGUAUGUGGUCGGGCAACCGUGAGAAAGUCGUCUCAAAUCUGCCCUAAAAGCCCCAUAUAUAUAGGAGGAGGGAGGGGGACCUUGCCUUGGGGUCCAAGGGAUCCCCAAGGGGUCGGCCGAGCCAGGGGGGAGGACUCUCCCCCCCCCAAACCGAGUUGGACUAGGUUUGGUGGGAGGGAGUCCUUCCCCUUUCCCACUUCCCCCUUUUUUUCUCCUUUGAUUUUUAUCCUUGGCGCAUAGGGGACUUGUGGGCUGUCACACCAGCCCACUAAGGGCUGGUGUGGCUCCCCAAAAGCCUAUGGGCUUCCCCGGGGUGGGUUGCCCCCCCCCCCCCCCGGUCGAACCUCCCGGAACCCAUUCGUCAUUCCCGGUACAUUCCCGGUAACUCCGAAAACCUUCCGGUAAUCAAAUGAGGUCAUCCUAUAUAUCAAUCUUCGUUUCCGGACCAUUCCGGAAACCCUCGUGACGUCCGUGAUCUCAUCCGGGACUCCGAACAACAUUCGGUAACCAACCAUAUAACUCAAAUACGCAUAAAACAACGUCGAACCUUAAGUGUGCAGACCCUGCGGGUUCGAGAACUAUGUAGGCAUGACCCGAGAGACUCCUCGGUCAAUAUCCAAUAGCGGGACCUGGAUGCCCAUAUUGGAUCUUACAUAUUCUACGAAGAUCUUAUCGUUUGAACCUCAGUGCCAAGGAUUCGUAUAAUCCCGUAUGUCAUUCCCUUUGUCCUUCGGUAUGUUACUGGCCCGAGAUUCGAUCGUCAGUAUCCGCAUACCUAUUUCAAUCUCGUUUACCGGCAAGUCUCUUUACUCUUUCCGUAAUACAAGAUCCCGCAACUUACACUAAGUUACAUUGCUUGCAAGGCUUGUGUGUGAUGUUGUAUUACCGAGUGGGCCCCGAGAUACCUCUCCGUCAUACGGAGUGACAAAUCCCAGUCUUGAUCCAUACUAACUCAACUAACACCUUCGGAGAUACCUGUAGAGCAUCUUUAUAGUCACCCAGUUACGUUGCGACGUUUGAUACACACAAGGCAUUCCUCCGGUGUCAGUGAGUUAUAUGAUAUCAUGGUCAUAGGAAUAAAUACUUGACACGCAGAAAACAGUAGCAACAAAAUGACACGAUCAACAUGCUACGUCUAUUAGUUUGGGUCUAGUCCAUCACGUGAUUCUCCGAAUGACGUGAUCCAGUUAUCAAGCAACAACACCUUGUUCAUAAUCAGAAGACACUGACUAUCAUCGAUCAACUGGCUAGCCAACUAGAGGCAUGCUAGGGACGGUGUUUUGUCUAUGUAUCCACACAUGUAAAUGAGUCUUCAUUCAAUACAAUUAUAGCAUGGAUAAUAAACUAUUAUCUUGAUACAGGAAUUAUAAUAAUAACUAUACAUGUAUUAUUGCCUCUAGGGCAUAAUUCCAACACCCGUCACCACUGGUGAUGUUGGGUUGAAGGUUGAAGUCAGCUUCAAACCUUUGCCCUUGAGGUCAUUGUAUCCCAGGAAUUGCUGAUACAAAAUAGUCAGGUGCUGAGAUCUGAAUCAAAUGCCUUAUGAUAUAUAAGACAAUAUUUUUCUGUUAGUAGCGUGAUCCUGACCAGAGGUGAAUCUAGGAUUGCACACAUUAUCCCACAAGACACAAGAGCGAUCAUGAUGUCCACGCCCCAGAUAGGACAAUGGUGGCCAUUGAGGGCGAAUGCCUCAAAUUAUAUAGCCAUAUGUUACCUCCAUGGGUAAACCAGAGAUAAUUAAUUUACAACUAGUAAAUUAAAAACCAUCAUGGUUGAUGUUGUAAUGAACUUAGCAAAAUCAAUGGGUAUUUCAAGAAGUUAUCUUGAAACCAUUAGUGUGAAUCUCAAAUUGCUAAAUAUGACACCUUGAAGAUAAUCUCCAAAAUGGAGUAGAUCUCUCAGCACUACGGAGUAUAACUGAUGAACUGGGUAGAUACUCACUCGUAAUGCCUUAUGUCAUGACUUAGUAAAAUGUGUGGGAGAGCACUUUGUAAAGCAAUCAUAAUGUCAAAAAUGACAAAAUGUAAGCUAUAUCAAUAGUGGUGAUAAUCUGCAAAGCAGUAGAUCUCCACAUUACCUUGUGAUCCCAAAACAUCAAUUUAAAAACAACACUUAGAAUUUUGCAUAUCAAUUCUUGCUUGUAUCAAGCCAAAGGCUCAAUUAAGAUGAAUUGAUUUUUAUUUGCAAAAAAUUAAAAUUCUCAAUUGCAAAUAAACGUAUUAAUCUCGACAUGUAACGAACAUGGAGAUACAUACAUUCCGGAAUACAUCGUACUCAACAGAAAUACACUACUAUUAUAUUGAAUAGUAAUGAUGUUGCAAACUUGAUUUUCAAGUGAAAAACUUGAAUUGUAUAGACCUUAAAUUAAAUAAGAUGGUCUUGUAUCAAGUUGCAAGAUAAUUCAGCAAAGUGAAUUAUUAUUUUGCGAGAGAAAAUUAAUCUCAAUCGCAAUGAGAUUGUUUUGCGAGAAAAGAAAAUUCCCAAUCGCAAAUCAAUAUUGUUGUGCGAGAAAACUUAAUCUCAAUCGCAAUACGAAACAUGUUGUAGGAAUUGCUAGAGAGCAAAUACAUUGAACAUGUCCUAUUUUCAUACUUGCAUUGCAAAGAAAAACCGUGGGCUAAUCUGUAAUUUAUGGAGACUUAAAUGCAAAAUACAAAUAAGUCAAAUGACAUUCUGCAUACUGAACAAAGUCCAAGGACUAGAUAGCAAAUAACAGAGUGCAAUCCAUAAAUACGUAGAAUAUGAGGCCUGAAAUGCAAAAGGGGAAAGAGAUAAGGUUCUCUAUCGCUUCAUGUGGGUGUGGCCUUGCAUAUGAAUCAAUCGAUUCGUCUAGCUUUUCUCUAGCAUCCACGCCGUCAAAUCCGCUGAGGGAGAAGCCAUGACAGCGAGCAACCAUGCCAGAGAACACUCAUGUGCCUUGCGGCAUGAGAUCGAGGCUGGCCCAUUCGGGGUUGUUUUCUGCGCGUCGCGCUCGGACCUGGCAACCGCGGAGGGCGCCGUUGGCCACUGCACCUUGUGCAAGCAGCAGUUAAAGGCUCGGUCCGGCCUCUGUUGUCCUAUGUGGGGGCUCCGGCAGUCGGUCGCGCGCACGCACAUUGGAGGGCCUGGGGAUCUUGCCUGACGUCGCAGCCUCGCUUCAACACCAGGACGGACCAUGCACCGGGAAUCAGCCGCGCGGAGGGGCACCAACCGCUGCGCUAUGAGCGGCCGUGGCGUGUGGAGAUGGGACAGGCGCCGCCACGAGCAAAGCGUAGUUGGUUGUUGGCCAACGCCUUCGCUUAUGUCAUUUGCGAGAAGCUGCGAUUCGGGCCCGAUGGCCGCCAGAGCCGUGUCGCUAUAGGGCAUCGCAGUGCCACGACCUGCGGGCCGAGCCAUUGAGGGUUGCUGCCUCGCGGCCGACCGUGAGAUAGAGGUCGCCGCGCAGGCAGUUAUCCAAGAGCAUCGUUACUUUCCGGGAAGAUGAGCACGCACCAGAAAACCACCGACACCGCGCAGGCAGCCGUCGAGGUCAACGGAGGGGAUACGCCAGCGGGGAUGGAAAGAAUUGUCGCCUCUACCAACGAUGUGGCAUCAAGCCUUGUCUGCCGCGUGAAUCCAGGGAAGCAGUUUCCACGUCAGGCGCCAAGAGGAAAGCAUCGUGGCCAGGGCCUUGGCUAGUGCAGGAGGACUGGGCUGAGGCCGCAGUUGCCGUCCCGUUGUGCCAUGCGCUGCCUUUGCGAGCGCUGGAGCGUUGGGCAUAGCAGGGCCGAAGGGCAUCGCCAUGCUGCGCCAUACGCUCUGGCUGCCGCAAGUGUGGCCUUGAAAUUGCUCCGCGAGAGAGCGUGCUGAUAACGUGUUUGAGAUAAAAAUCUGUCUAUUGAUGAUCACAAGUUACAUAUUUAUAGUCCCCGAAAGGACGCAUCCGAAGGGACACAACGGUUACAAGAGUUGCAUCUCUUUGUAUGAUGGUUUGGUAAGUGGAGAUUUAUUCCUUAAUUAAAACAUAUUAAUUAAGUCUUAACACAUUUUUUUUCUGAAAACUUAGAGUGCGCUUUACUUCACAUAAACACGAAAUAAAAAAAGAUAUAUGGGUUGUCCACACAUAAUCGUGAUAUAUUAGUGUCACUACGCUUUUUAGACAGCGGAUAUGGUUGCACCGGAGCGAAAGCCCAUCGGAGGAGAGCCACCUAUGGACCACAAGGCAACAUGGCGUGCCAUGAUAGCUUGUGGGGCCCACAUGGCUCCUGCUGAUAUGAUUUUAAUAUUGAAAAAUCCUAUAAAUCGUAGAAACCCCGAAACUUAACCUAGAAUUUCCACUCCGUCGCCGCAACUCUCCGUGUCGAAGAAAAACUCAUCUGGAACCUUUUCAAUACCCUGUCCGAGGGAUAAAUAAUCUCGGGUGGCCAUCUUCAUCAUCCCGGUGGAGGCCACAAUGAGGAGGGAGUAGUUCACCCUCGGGGCUGAGGGUAUGUACCAGUAGCUAUGUGUUUGAUCUCUCUCUCUCCCUCUCUCUCUCUCUCUCUCGUGUUCUUGAGAUGUCACGAUCUUGAUGUAUCACGAGCUUUGUUAAAAUACUUGGAUCAUAUGGUGCUCAUCCCUUGCUGUCUUGAUGUGAUGAAUUGAAUCUUUCCCUUUGAGAUCUAGUUAUGUUGGAUUGAAUAUUUUGGAUAUGAAAACACUUGAUGUAUGUCUUGCAUGUGGAUACCCGUGGUGACAAUGGGUUAUUCUAUUGAUUCACUUGAUAUAUGUUAUGGCGUCAACUUGCGGGUCCCGGUGACCUUGGGGGUAUAUGCAUAGGGGUUGGUUGCAUGUUUUCAUCCGACUUUCUCCGAUAGAAAUCUUGGGGGUACUGUUUGAAGUUCUUUUUUAUUUGAUCGAGUAUGAUGAAUAUGAAAUUGUUUAAUGCAUGGUGAAUAAUUAACCCAUGGAUACUUGAGGUGACAUUAGGGCUGAUUGAUAUGUAUCAUAGGUGUUAUUCUAGUACAAACUCUGGGGAUGUUUGUGACACCUACAGUAAUAGCCAAAAGAUUGAUCGGAAAGAGUAACUUUGAGGUGGUUCGUGGCCUACAACAACUCCUUAUUAUGUUCUCCCCUAAUAGGAAUUUUUGAGUGAUUUCUUUGUUUCAUGUUGGUCAAUGACCAUAUGAUUCUACUGUCUUAGCAUUGUUGUGAGAUUGCACUAGUGAAAGUAUGAACCCUAGGCCUUGUUUCUAAGCAUUAAUUGUUGGGGAACGUCGCAUGGGAAACAAAAAAAUUCCUACGCGCACGAAGACCUAUCAUGGUGAUGCCCAUCUACGAGAGGGGAUGAGUGACCUACGUACUCUUGUAGACCGUACAGCAGAAGCGUUAGAGAACGCGGUUGAUGUAGUGGAACGUCCUCACGUCCCUCGAUCCGCCCCGCAAACAAUCCCGCGAUCAGUCCCACGAUCUAGUACCGAACGGACGGCACCUCCGCGUUCAGCACACGUACAGCUCGACGAUGAUCUCGGCCUUCUUGAUCCAGCAAGAGAGACGGAGAGGUAGAAGAGUUCUCCGGCAGCGUGACGGUGCUCCGGAGGUAGGUGAUGACCUUGUCUCAGCAGGGCUCCGCCCGAGCUCCGCAGAAACGCGAUCUAGAGGAAAAACCGUGGAGGUAUGUGGUCGGGCUGCCGUGAAAAAGUCAUCUCAAAACAGCCCUAAAACCUCCGUAUAUAUAGGUGGGAGGGAGGGGGCCUUGCCUUGGGGCUCAAGGAGCCCCAAGGGGGUCGUCCGAGUCCAAGGGGGAGGACUCUCCCUCCCCAAACCGAGUUGGACUAGGUUUGGUGGGAGGGAGUCCCCCUUCCUUCCCACCUCCUCCUUUUUUUUCUUUCUCUCUUGAUUUUCUUCUCCUUGGCGCAUAGGGCACUUGUGGGCUGUCCCACCAGCCCACUAAGGGCUGGUGUGUCUCCCCAAAGGCCUAUGGGCUUCCCCGGGGUGGGUUGCCCCCCCCCCCCGGUCGAACUCCCGGAACCCAUUCGUCAUUCCCGGUACAUUCCCGGUAACUCCGAAAACCUUCAGGUAAUCAAAUGAGGUCAUCCUAUAUAUCAAUCUUCGUUUCCGGACCAUUCCGGAAACCCUCGUGACGUCCGUGAUCUCAUCCGGGACUCCGAACAACAUUCGGUAACCAACCAUAUAACUCAAAUACGCAUAAAACAACGUCGAACCUUAAGUGUGCAGACCCUGCGGGUUCGAGAACUAUGUAGACAUGACCUGUCACGCCCAAGAUGCGACCCUAUCCUCAAUUUGGCACGAAGGCCUCGUCAGGGAUAGAAGCGCAUCUCGUCGUGUCGCAAGAAUGGAUAUCGUUACAAGUACAUGUACUGAAAAGAUGAGAUAUAUAAAGGGUUGGCUUACACUCGCCACAAGCUACAUCAGAGUCACAUCAGUACAUUACGUAAACAACAAGAGUAAGAGCAGGGUCCGACUACGGACGAAAACAAACGACAAAAGAAGAACGACGUCCAUCCUUGCUAUCCCAGGCUGCCGGCCUGGAACCCAUCCUAGAUCGAUGAAGAAGAAGAAGAAGAAGCAACUCCAAAUGAACAAUCAACGCGCUCGCGUCAAGUAAACUUUACCUGUACCUGCAACUGGGGUCGUAGUAAUCUGUGAGCCAUAGGGGACUCAGCAAUCUCAUUUCCAAAGGUAUCACGACUAGCAAAGCUUAAUGGGUGAGGUAUGGUUAAGUGGUGAGGUUGCAGCAGCGGCUAAGCAUAUAUGAGGUGGCUAACUUACGAGUACUAGAAUAAAGAGGGGGAAGAACUACGCAUAGCGGACGUGAACUACAGAUGACCAAAUGAAUGAUCCUGAACACCUACCUACGUCAGUCAUAACCCCACCGUGUCCUCGAUCGGAGAAAGAACUCACGAACGAGACAGUCACGGUUACGCACACAGUAGGCAUGUUUUAAUUAAUUAACUUCAAGUUAUCUAGAACCAGUGUUAAACAAAGUUUCCACGUUGCCACAUAACCGCGGGCACGGCUUUCCGAAAAAUUUAACCCUGCAGGGGUGCUCCAACUAGUCCAUCACAAAUUACCACAAGCCGCAUAGAAACCCUCAAUCACGAAGCUCGCGAUCUCGUCGGAUUCCCUAGUGGAAAACCUCAACUCUGAGAUUACCCAAAGCAUCACCGGAAUCCCGAUGCACAAGAUAUCUCGUCAAAGGUGAAACUAAUCCAGCAAGGCCUGCCCAACGUGUCGACGAUCCCGAUAGGAGUCGCGUACCUCGUUCUCAGGACACGACGGAUGGGUCACGCUAGGAGUACCAAACCUCGGGUUGCCCCGCGGUGGCCCCGUAGUCUGCCAAUUUGGACCAACACUCAUGAGGAGCACUGGCCCGGGGGUUGAUUAAAUUAUCCUCGGGAUCCGGAAAGUCCCUAUGCAAUUUUAUUAGGUGAUUAGGCAAAUGUAGUACCAAUGUUGGGCCUUGCCAGAACAGCUUUAACCUAAAACGAAUUAUCAAGGGGGUCCCCAUAACAACCCCGAUCGUGUUAGGAGCGCUCAAUUAUGGAACAUAACACCGGUAACCGAAACUAAGGGGGCAAAGGUGGAACAAAACACCAGGCUAGAAAGGUCGAGCCUUCCACCUUUUACCAGAUAUAUAGGUGCAUUAAAUUAAAUAGUAUUAAUAUGGUGAUAUGACAAGGGACCCAUGUUUUCACAUGGAAGCAACUGCACCUGCAACUAGCAACGCUAUCUACAGGGUUAAGCAAGCGGUAACAUAGCCAAUCAGUGGUUUGCUAGGUUGAACAGGUGGAAUGUUUUCAUGGCAUUGUUGAGAGGCUGAAUUUAACAGGUGGUAGGCAACGAGACAUAACGAUAGAAGCGGUAAAACUAGCAUGGCAAUGAUAGUAAUGGUAUCUGGGGAAAUGAUCAUCUUGCCUGAGAUCCCGCUUGGAAGAAGAAUGCCUCCGUGAAGCAGACGAACCGACGUAGUCGAACGGGUCCUCACAAUCCGGCACGCUGCGGAACUCUAACGAGACGGGGAAACCGGAAACAAGCAUCAACACACGAUAUUCACCACACGAUGCACAACACAUAUGAUGCAUGAGCUACUGAAUACAUGCAAGUCACGGCAUGACAAAUCACACAAUCACACACUACACCUUAAGUGAAGUUCAAUAUGCACGAGUUGCAUAUUGACGAGACUCCACGUUAAUUAUUUAGUUCACUCCCGGUUAUCUACACGGCAAUAUUAAUGUUGUCAAACAGGCAAGAGGUGAAGCGGAAAUUAAACUACUUAUCUAGGCAUUUUAAAUGAGGUCGGAAAUGUCAUAUAGCACCUCCGAGACGACCUCACAUGUUAAUUUACAAUUCUGUCCAAAUCUGAACUAAUGAAUUUAAUUGGUUGUUAAACAGCAAAACAAAUAGGUUCACGUGAGGCAAGCAAUCUACACAUAAGGAAUAUCUCCAACGGAGCUACGGUUCAACAGAUACAAGCACCGCAAGAUAUGAUGGCAUGAAUGCAAAAUGUGUGCAACGGCGGCUACGAGCACUUCAACACAACCAAACAGCAAGAGGAAAUGAAACUACAUGAGAUUCUAAGCAAGUUUCAUGUAGGACAUGAUCAAAUCGGAGCUACGGUUCAACAUCUACGAGCAAAACAAGAAAUCACUACAAACUGCCCAAAACAGCUACAUAGCAACUUCUACGCCUCACAAUUUCGGCUUCACAUCUCCGAUUUGCUCAAGCAAGGCAUGGCACGGAAGAGGGCAAGAAGCACUGCUACGAACAACUAACAACAACUAGCAUGGCAUCAUCGAUCACUAGGGAAAGAAGUCACAAAAGGCAUCUCAUUCACUAUUUCAGACUUAGUGAAAAUUACACCUCUUGAAAGUGCAGUUUUCAGCCUAAAGCUAUAUUGACAGCAGCAAAACCCUAAGCUACAUGUAUCCAAAUGACAUGAAACUUAACAGCAUGCUAGAGAAACAUAAGGGGUACAACUAACUCCAUUGGACCAACCUCAAAAGAGCUACAGAUCUAAAUAUGCAAGCUAGACAAGAUAGCAACAAAAUAAUAACAGAAUCCAGACUUAGAAAUAUUUCAGCUCCUCUGAAACAGCACUAUUCAAGCAACUUGAGGGCAGUCAAACAACACCUAAACAUGCAUUUCUAUUGCAACUAAAAAUACCAGGGGCUAAACAAAACAUCCAAGAUCAACUCUUUAGUUGACAACUAAUCCUAACGAGACACGGAAUAAAUCCUACGAAUUAAACCAAAGGGCAUCACGGUAAAAUAUCUCGUGAACUAACUUCGUCAAAAGCUAAAACUAAUUGCACAGAAAAAUCCACGGGAUUUUUCUACCCCGGAAAAAUAUAUAUAAUGUGGGGUUUGCAACACAAAAUCUUGCCACACAAUAAUGCGGGAGGAUAACCUAUAUACGGGAAAAACAACUACCGGCAAAACCCUACACGGAAAAAUACGAGUGACCGCUCUAAAAUACGUACAAAUAUGGUCCCUAAAACAUGGACAUUAAAUCUAUGGCAUACGGGCAAUCCGGAUACACACAAAAAUUAACUACGGAAUGGAUCCUAGUUAAACAGCACGUAAAACGAGACAUUAGGCACUCUAAACAGCGUUAAAUAAAUAGGCAUGUUCGAUAAACGUGUUCUACUCGCGAAGCUACCCCAAAACGAUAUAAAGAUCACCUCGAUCCGACUAACGGAACAAAAGUUACGGGCGUUUAAAAUAAUUAGCUAAACCUGUAAAUAACUAAACCGCAAAAGAAAAAGAAAACCUACAUCUCUAACGGGCCGAAUCUGGUGCGCAAAUUACAACGCAUGGGCGAAGAAUAGGGGUGAUUCUCACCUCGGGCUGGCCCGGUUGAGGAGGCAGAGGAGGCCUGGGCCGCGUGGAGGGGAGCUGGGCCGAGCUGGGCCGGCUCGGGGCCCAGGCGCUGGCGGGGUGGCUCGGGCGAGGUCGUCCUCCUAGCCGAGCGCGUGAGCCACGGCGGCGGCCGGCGGCGGCUCCAGGCGGGACGGCCCGGCGGGGUAGAAGAGGGGAAAUGGUGGGGGCCGGCCGAAUCUGGAGGGAUCCGGGCACGGGAGCCCCAGUCCCGGCGGCGGCGGCGAGCUCCGGGCGGAGGACGGCGGCCGGCGCGAAUAUGGCAGAGGGCGGCGGUGCCGGUCACAGGCGGCGGCGGGAGGCGACGCAGGGCGAUGGCGGCGGCAGGGCACGGGAGCAGGAGGCCGGCGGCUGCUGCUCUGGAUCGGGGCGGCGUGCGGCGGCAGGAAGCGGCCGGGCUCGCGAGCGCAGGAGGCUCCGGACGUGCUCGGGUAGGAGCUCGGGCCAUGGCGGCGGCGGCUCGGGCUCGGGCGGGCCUGCGAUGGGCUUCGCGGGCCCGGCGGCGCCGGCAGGGGAGAGAGAGGUGGGGCGGCUCGUCUAGGGUUAGGUUUAGGCUGCGCGGAAAACGAGGAGGAGAGAGGAAGUUGUCCCAAAAAUAAUAAGAGGGCCUAUAUAUAGACAAACGGGGGGCUCGGUUAACCGGAAUCGCGAUCCGGAUCCAACCGCGGGGUCGGAUUCGGACGAUUCCGAACGCGGGUAAGGGUACGUGGCCGUGUAGAGGGGUUUACCGGAGACGAGGGGGAAACGGGCGGCGCGGCAGGGUUUUUAAAACACCGAGAGACGUUCGACGAUAUACCGAAGACGGUACCGCUACGGGCGACCGUUCGGGUACCAGACGGUCUCCGAUCGCGACGAAAUUCGACAGGCGGCCUAGCUACACCUAAUCGCGACCGCGUGCCAAGUUUCACCUCGAUCAGAGGAAGUUUUACACGCACUUUAAAAACAGGGUUUCGACGGUGCCGCGGGCGCGUGCGAGUGCGGUCGGGCUCAGAACGGACGACGACGAGAACCGGCAACUACUAACGAAUGCAAGUUUGAAAACUGGCAGCAACGGAGAUGCCGAUGCAAUGCAGAUGAUGCGAAUGAUGCGAUGAUGACGCGACAAAUAAAAAUAGACACACGACGAAAACGGAAAGAGAGGGGAAUCUUCUGGAACGUCGGUCUCGGGCUGUCACAACUCUCCUACACUACAAGAGGAUCUCGCCCCGAGAUCCAAGAAUGAAAGGGGAAGAGGAUGAGAAAGAACAAGAGGUAAAAACUUAGUCGCUUCUUUGACAAACGAGUGAAACCAACGAUCCUUGAAGGUUGCAAGGAGAUGAAGAAUGACACGAUAAAGAAGCCAGAAUUCACGGAAAAUUUCGGCAGCACUUCGGUAGGAAAAUGGGACAAAAAUUCGGAAAGGUGGAAGAAAUAGACAAUAUUCAUAACAAACAACUAAAUAGAGCAAGGGAACACCAUGAUCUUGAUAGAACAACAAGAUUGACCCAAAAGAGCAACAACACAAUGCCUCCGGAACAAGAGAAUAGAAACUAGCUCAUACGGAAGAAGAGAAUGAAAAGAGAAUGACAAUUACUAACUCCAAUGAACUUGACAAGCAUCCUUGCAAGAAGAAUUGAACGGAGUUGUUGCAAGUAACAAUGAAGAAAAGAACAAGACGGUAGUGGGCUUAUGGAAAGCUUUUCAAACUAAUGAAGUGACAACCCGCCACUAACAGAAACAAGGAUUGAUUGGGAAAAACAAGAUAUGAACAAUUUCUUACACCAAAAGGAUACAUUGAGAACUUGGAUUAAUGACAAGCACCAUAAUAGCAACAAUCCAUAGGAAAAGCUUUAGGUGAAAUCCAACCCAAGAUAGCUCAAUGAAGAAAUCAUGGGUUGAAAAAAAUAUCUCAUGAUCAAAUGAUUGGUGAAUUUAAUUAUCUCAUUCUUGAAAGGAAAACUCUCUGAGUCUCCUACACUACAAGAAGCCAUAAUACCACCUCAAAGGAUAAAGGAAGAACAAAUGCACCGAAAUGCAAGGAAAGAAUGCUUGAGGUACUCCAACAAGAAUCUUGAAGAACACAUGAGAAUGAAUUGAAACCUUGAUGAACCACCAUGAUGGACCUUCAUAUACCAAUGAACGAUGCAACGAAAUGAAGGUAGACAAGAAUAAGAUUAUGACCUUACCAAGAUUUAGAUGAAGCCUCGUAAAGAGAUACUUAAGAGAACUUGGAACUCUAGAAAAGAAAUAUAAGCACACGAGGAAGGAAUUGAAACCAUGAGCCACUCCGGAAGAAGAAUUGAAAUCUCUUGGAAGAAGGAAGAACAAGAAUAAGAAUUAUGUUAUGCUCCUCCUUCAUCAAGUUAAACUGAUGAGAAUCAACGGAUCUAGCAUACCACUUAUUCCUCUUGCAAGAAUCUUGAAGAGAUAGAGAGAUAAGCACCACAUGACGCAUAAUUGAAGGAAGCACCGGUUAGAAUUCACAGUUGAAUGAAAACCAAGAAUCACUGGAGAAACAUGAGAACGCAGAGAUCAUGAUCCACCUGAAAGAAAAAACUUUAACAAAGCACCGGAAUAACCGAGAGACGAAUGCAGAGACAACAAUUGAGAAGAAUUGAGGAUGAAAGCUGAAAGCUGAGAACGAAGAAAUCUUCUGAAAUGAUGGCCUUCGAAGGAACGAGACUGGAAAAAAAACAACUCAGAAAAACACCGGAUAUCAAGAAAUGAAUCACUCAUGAUUGAAAAACAAAUACAAGAUGAUAACGCGAAGCUGGAAUGACGAAUCUGCAAGAGAAUGGACCAAGAUUCGAGAGAACACUCCUUCGGUCUUGACAGAAGAGAAUGAUGAGAAGAACACCACCAAGAAUUAAUGAGACACUCCGGAAUAAGAAGAAUGCAAGGUUGAGACAAAUUUGAGAACUAAUUAAAUGGAUCUUGAAGAAAGAAUAUGACUGAUGAAAUCCAUACUUACGUCAUAGUUGAAAAGAAUUAAGGAUCUCCGGAAAAGAUUAAAGAGUCAGGUAAGAUCCUGGGAAAGAACCUGUGGGUUAUGGGCCCACUCAAAGAAACCACCGUUAGAAAAGAUUGCUCGAAAGAUUGAUAUUGCACCGGUAUGCAGAGGACUAGAUGAGGUUAAGAACUCAAAAUAAUAAAAGAAUUGAAAACUCGACACUCAGAGAUAUCUUCAGCACUCCGGAUAGAAUAGCGAUAACUGAAUAAACAAGAUAGGCUGAAAUGAAUCUCCAACAUAGGAAAGAAUUACAAGCACGAAAAGGAUAUGAUGAACACGGAUAGCUGAAUUAAAUUCGCCGGUAAGGAUGACAAAAUUGAACAAAUAUGACACGAAGCUCCUGAGAAUCUUCACGAUGAAUCACCAGUUACGAAAGAAAGAAGAGAUAGCGGAAGCAUCACUGGUAUGAAAUGCAGUUGGAUGAAAUCCAAUCACUGAAGAAAAAGGGCGGGAGGGCGGGGAAAAACAAAGUCAACUUGAGACGGAUGAGACAACUCCGGUAAGAAUGAGAGAAUGAUCUUACGAAACUGGAGAGGAUAGAAUUCACUGAAGAGAAGCACACCGGUUGGAAGGACUUGAUACGAUGACUCCGGUUGAAAGGAAUUGAUAAGACAACUGACUAAGCAAAAGGAUUUGCAUUCUCACAUAAAAAUAUGAGAACACCUCUUAAAAAAGAUCUGAAAUCACCACUUGACAUCGAAGCAACUGAAUUACCAUAUUUCAACAAAACAAAGGAUGCGGCUUACGAAACAAGCCAGAACAAACUCAUGAGAAAGAUUUAUGUUCGAUAUUUUCGUGGACAGGGUCGCACGGGCACGAUUUACAGAAGCCAUCAAGUGCAAGGCAGUGCACCUGACAUACGAAGCGUCCCCGAGUCGUAGCAAGCUACAAGGACUCUUUAAGACACAACGUGUACCGCUGUAAGUCGACCGUGAACAAGCGAAUCCACUAGAUGUCGAACCCCAACCUAACAUCAUGCAUUUGUUGGAAGAUUGUCCUAUAAGCAAUUACUUGAAUUCCCACCUAUGACUUCCCGAAAUAUCUGGUCAUGCAAUCUGGUACACGGAUACAAGGAUUAAUAUCACACAACUCCUAUACUAAACCGUCACUUGUAUCACAUCCGUCAACACACGACCAGAAUCUCGGACCUUCAUCUACAACAGACCCUCGUGAUCGCAACGAUACAAAGUAUGGCAGUACUCCCGAACAAUCUGCACCAGUACUGGGGACAUCGGGGUUAUCUCGCCACUACUAGUAUUGAAGCAAUUACGAACAUCCUUCGUUCUGAGAUACUAAGAAAUCUGAAUGAUAACGAUGUGCUCAAGAAUCCCCUGGAGCUCAACUCCCCGGAAGAAGAUCAAGUCAGACAGGAGGCACCAAGACAGAACUCCGUCACAUCGGCAUCAUAUAGAUUCCAAAAAUAUCCGCGUGAUCCUAAAAAAGAUUUUCAGUGAGAAGAGGAGUAGAAUAAAUUAUUACGUCAAGAUUCCUCACCAGAGCAUAGAAGAGGAGAAAAAAGAAUCCUACUCUCCGAUAUAUAACUAGACUCAAAGUAGUAUUUCACUAGACUCGACUCGGCCAUGUUCGAUCAAUCAAGGGGGCUCCUAGGUCGGUACGGCUCUGAUACCAACUUGUCACGCCCAAGAUGCGAUCCUAUCCUCAAUUUGGCAUGAAGGCCUCGUCAGGGAUAGAAGCGCAUCUCGUCGUGUCGCAAGAAUGGAUAUCGUUACAAGUACAUGUACUGAAAAGAUGAGAUAUAUAAAGGGUUGGCUUACACUCGCCACAAGCUACAUCAGAGUCACAUCAGUACAUUACGUAAACAACAAGAGUAAGAGCAGGGUCCGACUAUGGACGAAAACAAACGACAAAAGAAGAACGACGUCCAUCCUUGCUAUCCCAGGCUGCCGGCCUGGAACCCAUCCUAGAUCGAUGAAGAAGAAGAAGAAGAAGCAACUCCAAAUGAACAAUCAACGCGCUCGCGUCAAGUAACCUUUACCUGUACCUGCAACUGGGGUCGUAGUAAUCUGUGAGCCACAGGGGACUCAGCAAUCUCAUUUCCAAAGGUAUCACGACUAGCAAAGCUUAAUGGGUGAGGUAUGGUUAAGUGGUGAGGUUGCAGCAGCGGCUAAGCAUAUAUGAGGUGGCUAACUUACGAGUACCAGAAUAAAGAGGGGGAAGAACUACGCAUGGCGGACGUGAACUACAGAUGACCAAAUGAAUGAUCCUGAACACCUACCUACGUCAGUCAUAACCCCACCGUGUCCUCGAUCGGAGAAAGAACUCACGAACGAGACAGUCACGGUUACGCACACAGUAGGCAUGUUUUAAUUAAUUAACUUCAAGUUAUCUAGAACCAGUGUUAAACAAAGUUUCCACGUUGCCACAUAACCGCGGGCACGACUUUCCGAAAAAUUUAACCCUGUAGGGGUGCUCCAACUAGUCCAUCACAAAUUACCACAAGCCGCAUAGAAACCCUCAAUCACGAAGCUCGCGAUCUCGUCGGAUUCCCUAGUGGAAAACCUCAACUCUGAGAUUACCCAAAGCAUCACCGGAAUCCCUAUGCACAAGAUAUCUCGUCAAAGGUAAAACUAAUCCAGCAAGGCCGCCCGACGUGUCGACGAUCCCGAUAGGAGUCGCGUACCUCGUUCUCAGGACACAACGGAUGGGUCACGCUAGGAGUACCAAACCUCGGGUUGCCCCGCGGUGGCCCCGUAGUCUGCCAAUUUGGACCAACACUCAUGAGGAGCACUGGCCCGGGGGUUGAUUAAAUUAUCCUCGGGGUCCGGAAAGUCCCUAUGCAAUUUUAUUAGGUGAUUAGGCAAAUGUAGUACCAAUGUUGGGCCUUGCCAGAACAACUUUAACCUAAAACGAAUUAUCAAGGGGGUCCCCAUAACAACCCCGAUCGUGUUAGGAGCGCUCAAUUAUGGAACAUAACACCGGUAACCGAAACUAAGGGGGCAAAGGUGGAACAAAACACCAGGCUAGAAAGGCCGAGCCUUCCACCUUUUACCAGAUAUAUAGGUGCAUUAAAUUAAAUAGUAUUAAUAUGGUGAUAUGACAAGGGACCCAUGUUUUCACAUGGAAGCAACUGCACCUGCAACUAGCAACGCUAUCUACAGGGUUAAGCAAGCGGUAACAUAGCCAAUCAGUGGUUUGCUAGGUUGAACAGGUGGAAUGUUUUCAUGGCAUUGUUGAGAGGCUGAAUUUAACAGGUGGUAGGCAACGAGACAUAACGAUAGAAGCGGUAAAACUAGCAUGGCAAUGAUAGUAAUGGUAUCUGGGGAAAUGAUCAUCUUGCCUGAGAUCCCGCUUGGAAGAAGAAUGCCUCCGUGAAGCAGACGAACCGACGUAGUCGAACGGGUCCUNNNNNNNNNNNNNNNNNNNNNNNNNNNNNNNNNNNNNNNNNNNNNNNNNNNNNNNNNNNNNNNNNNNNNNNNNNNNNNNNNNNNNNNNNNNNNNNNNNNNGAUGACGUCAAGUCCGCAUGGAACCACUCCGUCUUCUAGACCGGGGUCAUAAUUGAACCCACAACAAACCUCAGAUGAUGUGACUUCUCCACCCUCUAGGCAAUUCAUACAAAUUUCUAUUCUGGAAAAGCGAACCCGCUGAUAAAGAAUUUUAUACCGAGGUUGGAGUUAGUCAACUCAAUAAUGAUACUCUCCCUCUGGGGCCUUGAGCCGAAGCCGAGUCGUCAGGAGAGAAUGCAUAAGAUACGAUUGUAAUAUCAAUAACCGGAGGAGGAGAAGUAGAAGACAGGCUUACGAAAUAACGAAAAAGUAAAAGUGACCGAGAUGCGAGGGAAAAACUUUUGUUUCACAUUUCCGGAAAGACCACCUAUUUGUUCGUUUACCAGGUUCAGCAGAAAAAAGGCGCUCUAAUCGUACUCGAGCCCUUAAUCCCCCAAUAGGACUUACUUACCCGAGUCAAUUCUUUCCUUCCUGUGCGAAAGCAAGGCCUCUUUCUCGAAGGGUAAGAAGAAAAUAAGAAGUCUCUUGAGCAGUGAGGAGCACAACGAUUUGUGCUCUUUUCGGGAGCAGAGCUGAAAAAGAUGGAGUUACCUGGAGAUGAGAUUGAUUUCUACGGAUAUGAAGGAUAGAAAUAUGCUAUUUGCUGCUAUUCCAUCUAUUUGUGCAGCCACUUAAAGAUCUUUGAGCAGCUCGAGAGAUAAAUCCGUCUUCAUUGGUACAAAAUAACCUUCGCCCCCCUUUUUUGUUAUGGGAUGGUGGCCUCCGAGGUAAGGGCGAAUCGAGACCGAAAGCUACUAAUAAAAUAGCAUAAUCUGACGUGGGACGAGUUUCUGCCUCAUACAGCUCGGGCCGAAGACCGGGGAAGUUGAGGAGAGAUGGGGAGACCCAACUGCUGCCAGUCGGGACGGACAGGAAAGGGGGCGGGGAUAAAGCAAGCUUAUUGCCCCACCGCCCAAAAACAAACCGAACCCAGAAAGAAAACGUAUCCGCUUUAGCAUCCUGUUGGAAUGGUCCUAGGAAAGACUACGUACGAGAAAUCAUUCUCACAGCCAACUUUCCUUCUUCAUAAAAUUAUUUAAUAUUAUGAGUAAUAAAAAAAAUAUUAAUAUUUUUUGCUAUGAUGAGGUCCCGGACCAGAUACAAAGCUGCAUAAAGUAGCUACUUCUUACUAGCCCGACUCGGCUCUGCGAGAAAACGGCUGCAGUCCUUGGUUUCCUAAACUGCGGCUACCUCCCAGAGAUCAUUAAUAGAACUGUUAUUGUUUUAAUCCCAAAGGUGAGAUCCCCGCAGGAAAUAUCUCAGUUCCGUACAGUACUGGAUGAGGUAAUUUCACAAACACAGAGUGCUUUUGUUGUACCCGGCCGUUUAAUAACGGAUAACAUUCUGGUGGCUUAUUAAUGCAUUCACUCAAUAAAAAAUAAGAGGUCAGGGCCGGGGCUUUGUGCAGUAAAGCUGGAUAUGCAUAUAAACGUAGACACAUUAGGAGAAUUGGAACAUGAGAGCAAAUUAACAUAUGGAACGACCCUUGGGUUCCAGGAAGUCCCAAUAGUAAAAUCACUACGGAAAGGGGAGGUACACUUCUCACAAAGGUAAAUGAGUUGAUUGACCCUGCUUCGGGUACUUGGGACGAGCAGCUAAUCACGUCAAUUUUCAAUCCAAUUGAUGCAAGAAGGAUCCUGUUAAUACCUAUGAACUAUGAUACCUUUGAGCACUUUCUUGCUUGGCACUACUCCAAUGAAUGAACUUCCAUUCGGACAAUUAAUUAAAAGAAAUAAGGAAAAUAGGAGUAAGCGAGUAGGGUCAACAAGAUUCUAAACGAAUACCACAAGUGACGGAACCGACGAUGAUGAAGAGAUAAGGAGCGAAGGAUAUUUUUUCUAUUAUUCCAAUUCUUAUUUAUUGAUUGAUUAUCUAAUUUAUUUAGAUCCAUAUUCAUUUUCAUUUGCAAAUACAAACUCUCUUUCAUUUUCUUUUUACUUUUGCGCUAAGGAUAAGGGAACUGAGAAAAAAAGAGCUGGCUUGGCUGGUACAUCAAGCAUAUGACAUAUUGCUUGUUCGGUGUGGUACACAUAUCUGUCAAUGUCAAUCAAGUAAGAAAAUGCAUUCCCACUGUCUGAGGAAAAGGUGAAGAAUUGCAAUUUAUUGAGCUUGUAAGGCGAGUUUCUCUGGUAUCCUGUACUUCCCGAAUAUAGCGCUCAUUAACCUGUGGAAGGAAAGCAAAGGUCUCAUCCGACGAAUUGACACUUGAUCGAUAUGCUUCUUUAACAAGAGCGGAACAUGUCAGGCGAUCCUCGGUCGAAAGAUACUCAUGAGGUGCGGGAAUGCAAGUGAACAGUCUUUUCUUUACUCUAAAGUACUAAUUAGAUGGGGUGCCUGCCUAUUAGUUACCUAACUUGGGUGGGGGAUUUCUUUCAGCUAGAGCUACUACUUCCAAUUCCCAAUAAUCGAUUAGAUUGCACCAAGUCUAGAUAUCAGUAGCUGAUGUCGGUAUCAAUGAUCAGAUGUCGGUGAAUCGAUUCAGAGGCCUAUUUGUAAACUAGAGAAUUGCCGAUAGGGGAUCUGCAUGAUAGAUCAUUCAUUUGACUAUUAUGGACCAAGGGAAGAGACCAAGGUAUGGAACUAAUUGUUAUUGGAAUGGCUAAACCAAUGAAUUCGGAUUUCCAAAUCGUUAGCGGCGGGUCUUUCUUCUUCUGGGCGAGCUGCGGAGCUACUUUUUCUUUCUUUCAUUCCAUCUGUCUCUGUAUGCUUGGGUGAAUGCCAUAAGCGGAUUUGUAUGCCCCGGUGACUUAUAAAAGGAAAGCACCAAAUAAAAGGAAGGAGAUCCGUCUUGAUUUUUUGCAUGUGGUCAAUGCGUUUGCUGAUUGAUAACUGUCUAAUCUUAAGAUGGUUUUGUGGCACGUUACAAACAUACAUAUACAGUCGAAAUAUAGUUGUGUUGAGUUAGGUUGAAGAAUUUUUACCAGAUUUUUAAAAUGAGAUAUAGUGCUUUCUUUGUUCGGUAGGAGAUUUUGCACUUUUAUAUUCUAGUUCCUCAUUUGAGCGUUCUUUUGCUCUGUUGGUGGGCAAGGGGUGGCUACAGACUAAAAGAAGAUCCUCACAGUGAAAGAGUGGCCUACUUCCAAGUAAAGCACAUUAGAGUUUGGGGAUUUCUCGUCCAAUCGGACAGGGCUCGCGAACAUUGCCCGCCUCUCGUGGGGAACGUAUUGUUCUAGUAAAACCAGGCCCUAAAUCGUUAUUCCUUUCCGGAUUUAGGAUUGCGAUUUCCUUUAUUUGAUGACUGGAAUGUGCGGGUAACAACUGCUCUUUCUUCUCGAUCGAGUAGCCAGGCAGCUCUUUCGCUCUAUAGGGAUAUCGGGGGGGGGGGGCAUAGCACAAUUCUUCUUGGAGGAGGGUUUUGGAGAAGUUCAAUGAGGUGCAAACGCACGAAUUAAAGCAACGAGGACAAGUGCUAGGAUAGGAUCCCGAAGGAUGGCAUGGGACAGAUCUGAUCUCCUUUAUACUUACCUCAAACAACGAGCGAAGUUGAGAUGUUGAUGAGAAAGGGGCUUUUCUCAAGGCCAAAGAGUGCUCUUUGAAGGCUACUAUGCAUCCUUACGCUCCCAAUCGGGUUACCUUCCUGGGUCUCGCCGGUGUUGCCUGUAGGUCGUGAUGUGCCUCGAGAUGGCCGUCUCCCGGAACCAUGUUCAGUGCUGCAAAAGCGCAGCUGUAGCCCCCUAGAAUCUUCGGCUCCUCGUUUUUAUUCAAUUAUGAAAUGAGUCAAGCCCGCUUUCUGGUGGCACACCCCCCAAACAAGCACCACUCGACGAGGGGGGGGGGCGGGGAAAGCUACAGGCCCAAAACCUUCGACCCUUCUUUCUAUAUGGGGGUGCCCGGGGCACUUCAUCUUGUCAUUUUGUUGCUCAUUCCCCUUAGGCUACGAAUAGAGAUAGUGCCCUAUCCACUGCAAAACGGUACUCUGCUUCAACCACACGGUAUGGCUCCCUCAUUUCAAACCAAGCUGUAGACCGAGCAAACCUCUCUUAUCCUUCUCGGCUAGAAGUUACAAGUUUCCUGUUCCGGUUUCGGCUUGAGGGAAGUGCCUGAAAUCGAUUCAAUUCUUAUCUCCGAUUUCGAAAGCUUAAAAUGGGGGGGAUGAGGCUGAUGUUGAGUCGGGUGAUGAAGCAACUUCACCGCAGCAAGAAGCCUAGUGAGCCGCUGGCGCACCUCUCCUAACUAUUGCCCAUUUAUUCUGGAAUAAUUUUUUUAGGAGGGACAAUUUUACAUAUUUCUGCCAAAUCCUUCUAUUAUUAAGUACGGCUGGCCGCGCUGUCAAACCUUCCAAUUCCAAAAUCCCACCCCCAAAGACUGCAUACUGAUGUUGGCAGUUAUGCCUAGGUGAUAGAUGUAUGUUGCUGGAUUGGAAAGCUAUACGAUCCCUUUUAUUCAAUUAUGACAGCUCAGAGGAAUUGGAGCAGAGAGAAAUCUUUAACUGAACUUCUCAUCCUGCCUACCAACCCAUAUUUUUAUCAAAAGCAUGGAAACUAUCUAAUCGAAGAUCACAACUCUGUGCCACCGACAAACGUUUGACUUUGACUGUGUUUUUUUUGGGCUAUGAAGAUUCUACUUAUACCCAAUGAUGGAACAUUUUGAAAAUAUGUUCAACGGGGUCUGGUUCUAGUACCACUAAUGAUGGAACAAAUCCAAAUGUGAAAACUAGUGCACCUAAGCACGACGAUCACUCCACAAGGGGAAUCAUGGAUGAAGCAAAUCAAGACAAACCGGGCGUACUCCUUCCAACUUCAGUAUGCGGGUAGCGAUGCUUUUUGGAAUCCAAGAGAACUUUGAAUCGGAGGAACGACCAACACAGCUGGCAUGGCUUUGUUGAAUCAGGAUUUGAUGACAGGAACGUUGUUGAAAUAACUUCUUUACCCCGCCCUUACGCGGUCAACGAACUCAUACUAAUGCAAGGACUGCUCGCAAGCAAAUUCGGAAAUGAAAGAAGGCUACCGAAAGAACAAGCAACGGCCCGGUCGUUCAAUCCUUUGAUAACCAAGGUCAUUCUUUGCUAAACAGCUAAAGGAAAGGCUUCUGAUCACACACUUGUCGUCUGGGGACCGCCCACAUUCAUUCAUUUCAUUCAUUCAUUGUUCUGUUGUGGAUUCGAACCACUAGCACAAAUUUGAUUUCGAGUCAAAGGGCGCUUUUUUAGGAUUUCCAGUCCUUUGAGUUAUUUGACGAGCUUGCAGGGGGUGGGGCUAAAUUCUUAUCCAAUGCCAUCCUUUCCUUCACCGAAGCCCACUAGUUGACGGUUGGGAAAGCAAGGGUGAAGGUAUCGACCAGGACUAGUAGUUUUACUAGGUGUUCUAAGGGGUAGCCCGGAAGGCUUUUUAGCUGAACAUAAGGAGUGGUGUGCGGACCCAAAGGCAGUUACCACACCCCGUCGAAAGAAUUAACACGCCAAAAGGGCCACCAGCUUUCCCCCAAAAAGGGGAGAUCCGCUGCUUACUGCUCACGGAAACAUCCGACCUUAUGGUCAAGUCGGCCCGAUGUGGGUACAUUGGCGUCAUCGUCGUAUGAAAUUCACGCACAAAGGGCGCCGCAAUAUGCACCGUCGGUUGCUGCGCUCCCUGCGGGUAAUAGCAAGACCCCUCCCGAGAUCGGACUCGAGGGAGGGUAAGACAUCCCGCCGGGAUGCCCGUCAGCAAGCAAGCACUUUCGAAAGCAGGAAGUAGGUACAAUUAGUAAAAUAAUGUGGAUGAAUAAGAUUUUGCUCGAUUUUGGAUCGGAUUUGGCGGCAUGGCGGCGUUUUUGACCAAUUCUUUUGCAAAUAAAAAAAAAUUCCGUUCAAGAAAGAAGAAGAUCAAUUUUGGGUUGGAUCUGCGGGAGAAUGAGGGAGGAUCAGUUUUCUUUGAAAAUGCUGUUUCCCACAACCGGGAUUUCCUUGAGGCGGAAAGCUCCGCAAGGAGGUGCCUGGAAGUGGAACAGAGGAUCCGGUGGGAAGAAAUCCCCAAGAGCAAGGCAAGUCUCGAAAAGGCGGAGCUCUUAUUCGUAGGAUCGGUCCAAAGCGCGGCUGAGUUGACGUUGAUAGACUUGUGCGUGCUCUGCCGCUCGUAACCUUUUUUUUCUCCCAUCGAUCGAAUCGAGGAGGUCAAGUUUCGAGAGCCUUUCGCAGAACGGGAACCCCCCAUGGGGAAGGGCUCUGAGACGCACCACAGAGCCACCAAGGGAGGGCGAUCCUCCCGGUGAACUGACCGUACCCCAAACCGACACAGGUGAACAAGUAGGAGGCCCUCUUCCUCCCUUUUUCUGAAUCUGGGAGAGAGGCAAAAGAGAAGUCCAGAGAGACCUCGACUCUUUCAGGGAAAGGAGGGAGAUCGAAUGCGAGAUGGAGUCCCUGCCGAAUGGAAUGGACAUCCUUGGGGACAGCUUGCUUUAUGUAAUAUGGCUUAAGCAAUGGUAAAAUGGGAGUCCUGAGACCUUAGCCUGAUGUCCUACCCAAAGACUUCAAAGGUAGUCACAGGACAACCUUUCCGAGUUCUAACUUCCAAACCUAUAACUUGGUUUGCUUGCCUGCUUCCUAUCUGACCUAUCAAUCAAAGAAAUGUUCUAGUUCCGUUCCUUUUUUCCUUUUUGCUCUUUUUCUUUGAAAGCUUUUUCCAAAUUCUAUGGCAGCAAGAUUAUUUGCUUUUGCUAGAAAAAAAGGAACAUAGUAUCUCUCGUUUCGUGCUGAUCUGGGGUGGGGUAAGGUAAUUGAAGUAACUAGCCAGUAUUAAGAUUAGGCAUAAGCAUAAUAAACUGAUGCAUCCGAAGACGGUGAAUCUAGAAUAGAGGCCGGGUGGGGAAGCAAAAGAUCCACUUCUUCACCGAUCUCUCCCGCAAUCUUCUUUCCCCACUCCUCAUCCAAGUGAGGAGCUACCCGAGAGGGGGGCUUAGCUCUGGAUCCCGCCUGCUUGCAGAAAUGAAUGGAUCAGAAAGGGGGCUGGGUUCUAUUUCCGGGCCGGGCAGGAGGUGAAGGCCAGAAGAAGAAGAGAAGUGCGCCUUCCCGGGCUUCAAAACCGAUUGACACUGGUGAUUCAGUAAGUUGACUACUUUGUUCGCACUUUCUAUUUGCGUAAUAAAAGUAUGCUCCUUUCCCUCCUCCAACUGCCAGAGUUCACUAGCGCGAAAGAAAAAUAGAUGGAUUGAGCGACGGGACAUUAACCUGGAUUUAGCCCUCCUCUCUACUAUCUACUGGCUAGACCUCAAGGCCUAUGACCACCUAUUAGGUUUACUUUAUUAGGUCUCCUUCAUUCCUUUAUUCAAUUCACUAUGUAACCUUUAUACAAUUCACUAUGUAACAAAGUUGAUAAGCCACGUUUUAUAUUAAUAGUAAUAGCCGUUUUCAAUCUUUUUUGUUCGUGCUUCGUCGGCUCCUCCUUUCUGAUCACUCUCCCGCCGGAGAUUCAAGACCCCCAGGCUCUAGCUCAUUUAGCAGGGCUAAACUUCUAUCUGAGUCUUUACGAGCAGGAUCCGGGAUUGUAUCUUGUCUUGGGGCGUCUUUCUUUGGCUUUACUAUCAAGCCAGACGCGGCGCCCUUUCGCAUUAUCAUCUACCUCCCUUUCUUUCCUCCCGUCCCUUCACGCAUGAAGAUCGUCAACUGCAAGUAACCAAGGAUACCGCAUCGAUAAUCAGAGGACACGUAGGGGCUACGGUUAUUCAGUCGAUACAGAGAUGCGCUUAAAGUGGGGGGUGUGCUGUCCCUAUUGGGCUGGGCCCUUCCCCAUAAGGCCCCACCGUCGGGGCAUAAGCGCCCUCUUGAGUAAGGCCGAAGGCUUACUGCCGGAUAGCCCAGUCAGUGCUCCGAAUAGUCCUUUCAGUGAUCCGAAUAGUCCUUUUCUCGGGGAUACCUCCCCUCGAUCAGUUGUUGACGCCUUUCGCUAACAACUACAGGGGAAGCGGCUCAGUAUCAACAUACCACCUGCCCGUCUUAUCAAUGACAAUCAUUCGUUUGGAUGAGGCCAUUCUAAGGGUUGUUUAGGAUUGGUAUCUGCUCUCUUCCCACGGAG